UCCCACCAAAAAUAAUUAUAUAGUUAUCCUUGGGCGAUCUUGGAUCUUAAUUAGUACACUCACGUUCUCUGUGGAAAAUCGAUACUCUGGAAUACUCCCGGGUGAAAGCUACAUCGGUAUCCGUGCGCUUGCGGAUUUUUCUGUUUGCGUUUAAAAUACCCAACAAGCUUUCUGGCGCCGUUGCCGGGGAACGGUAGCUGUGCUAGUUUCGAACCAAGUCGUCCGUAUAUCCUUUUUCUUUUCCUUUUUUACCACACUCACCUUACCAUUUUCACCACACCACAUGGAUUUCACUCUAAGCAUUAAUGAGCAUGGAAUUUAUUUCAUAGCCACUUCAUUUACUCCAUGCUCAUAUGCAACAUCUUCACAAUCCAUUGGUCUCUCCAACAUCACCACAUUCGAGAUCUCCAACCCCCUCAUCCUUUCUAUUUAUAAAAACUUUAAAAGGGCGGUUGUCGAUGCAUAUGUCUAUAAUAAAUUUUGCAGAUCUCGUUGAGUUGAUCUUGAUAUAGGUCAGCGUUGGAGGGGAAACCACUUCGCCGACAUAAAUUGAUGGUUUCCCAAGGACAAGCUUAGAGUCCUAAAACAAGCACUGAUCAGAUCAUAACUUGAGCUUUUAAUUAUUUGUAUCAUUACCUUGUGUAUUGAGCAUAUAAGGAUAAUUGUAAAAAUAUUCCUUCGGGUAUUCUUGUCACUAACCUUUCCAGGAUUGGAGCAAGAAGAUCGAAUGAAUGACAAGCACAAGGUAUGUCCAACCAAUCAUCAUACAACAUUGAAUUGAAUUCAUCCAAACUUGAAUUUUGCAAAAUUCAAGCUUGGGGGAGUACUUUACAUUAAAACAUCCUUUGCCAUGUUGUUAUGUUGGUUGUCACUACCUUUGAGACAUGCUCAAUUUGUUAAAUACUAAUCACGCUACUUCAUCUCCACUUGAGUAGAUCUCUAUAAAUGCUCUCAUGCUACCUUUAUUUGCUUUAGUAUAUGUUUAGGUUUGGAGUAGUUUCAUUUAUCUCUUAAUUAAGCAUGGUGCUUAGUUUAGGGCUGAUGAUCUUACUUCCAAGGGUUUUUAAAUCAAGCUUGGUGCUUAGGUUAAAAUGCCCUCCUAAAUCAAAUUAGACAUGGUGUCUAGGUUGAUCUUUGAGCUGAUAGUAUGCUAUAGUAGAUAUUGGAUAUUUUGUUGGACUAACCCCUGCAGGAAAACUUUUAAUAUCGACCUGGGAAGUCCUGAGAUAAACUCACAUUGGAGACAAAGAGAGAGGCACAUGAAGUUUAACAAUCUACACAAGGAAGGCAUAGCUCACAAGAGAUGAUCCAUGGAGGGUGCUACAAACACGAUGCACAACCGCUAAGAAAGGAAAGCUUCCACAAGGUCAUACUGUACCAUCACUCUUCAAGUAAGGUAACAUCUUAAGGUACUUGUCUAUCACUUCUAUAAGCUUCUCCUUGGUUCUGACGUUCACAUGAAUAAAAGAGACAAACAUGUAUGAUUAACAACUCUAGAUUAACCAACCCAAUCGAUUCAACAUGUUUAGUCCUUCCACCUUUGUGAUCUCACACUCCUAAUAAUAUGAACUAAAAUGUUGCACACUCAAUCUUUAGAAAAUGAUAGUCAUGUAAAGAAAAAAACAUUUACUUAGAUAGAUUAUCUUUCCAUAAGGUUCAGUGAUCUGAUCUGACAAAUGUUUUAAAUGUUACACUCAUGAUCUUAUUAUCCAUCAACUUUGUCUUGCUCACUAUGCUUAAGGUUAGAGAGAACAAAUACACUUUUGGUUCUGUUGGUGUUUUCCACCAACAGGGCCCAUGCACUUGAUCUCUGCCUUGUCUCUAUGAGCAGGUACACUUCGAGCAAAAUAUGAAGGACUUUUAUAACUCCCAGACUCCACCAAGUGAAGUACCUAGAUCUACGAGCACAAACACACUGGAGAUACUGGACACUCAGGCAAUCACUGCCCUGAGAUGCUUGAGGACAUAACUACUAGAGUAACCCCGUUGUGGAAGUAAUUACUGACCUUCUGCCGGUCAAGAGAGGUGAUCUAGGACGUCCCGUGAUCCCGAUCUCCAUCGGCAUUGUGGACUUCCUAGAAGCACUCUGCAACUUUGACUCCAGCGUCAACAUUAUGCUCCGGGUACUCUAUGAAAAAUUCUUUACACAUCCUUUCCUAGAAACAACCAUGUGUUUGCAGCUUGCAGAUCGUACACUAAGUUUCCCAAAAGGAAUAUUGAAGAACCUCUACAUACGAGUUGGUACCUUGUACGCCCCAGCAGACUUCGUGGUGAUAGAGACUGAUACUGAUGAGAGGGCACCCAUCAUCCUAGGGAGGCCAUUCCUGAACACUUCGGGAGCUAUCAUUUACGCUAGUGCUGCCAAGAUCAGUUUCUACAUCAAGGGGAGGAAGGAGACGUUUUCCUUCAAAAACAAGACUACACAAAUCUCAGAGCAUUCCCGACAUAAACCAAGGAAGAUGAUCAAUAGGGGGAACAAGAACAAGCAAAUGUGGACUGAGUCAGCUAAGAUGGUCACUGCAGCUCAAGGAGGUCAAGAUCGUCAACUCAAGUCACCUUUCUUGAUCAAGAAGGACGACCCUAAGUGUUCCAAGCAUUGAGUGCACAAUCAACAGAUAUUCUUUUCAGAAGACACUAUAUGACACCGGAUCUAACGUCAACAUAAUGGCCGCAGUCACUUAUCAGCUCCUGUAUGGAACCAUGCCCCUACAACCAACAUACAGUCAGCUCUAGAUGAUUUUAAGGUUAUUGACAUGGAAGAAGACGAGUACGAUCCACCCAUCAUCCUUGGGAGACAAUUCCUCAGCACCAUUAAAAUAAUCAUCUACAUUGGAACCGGAGAAGUCCACAUGCACUUCCCCUCAGAGAAGGUACGCCACUGUUUUACUGACCCUAACUAUAUAGUUGACGACUCUAAGCAGGUCAGGACAAGAAGACGACGACGCAACCGCAACCAGAGGAGGCAAAUCAUCAAGGACGGAUGGGUAGACUAUGAAGGAGAAGUUGUAAGGUCUGAAGACAUACAACUUGAACAAAACUGUCCUGAGGAGACCGUAGCACCGAGUCAGGUGUGGAGAGAGAAGAUAGUUAUACACGAAGAGGAAGCACCGUCGGAACCACCGACUACGCCAUCCAGCGAAUCCCAGAAUGACUCAGGAAACGGAGAGUCCCGUUCGGAGGACUUAAAAACACCGAACGCCUUGCCAAGAGGUAAACUUGGUAGUUAUCCUUUUCCUUUCAAUUAUUUAAUAGUUUGCUUAGUUAAUCAGGUUCAUAUCAUCUUGAAAAGAAAGUAAAAAUAUUAAAAAUAGUAAGCCCCAUGUGAGUAUGCUCAUGACAUAAAACCCAUAAGUACAUUCACUGUGGUGGCGUAAAAAUGAAAUAAAUAUAUUCCUGUCCUAUAAAAAUAUAAAAAUAAAUUUAUGAUCCUACUAAAGAGAGUAAUAUUUAUUAGAGGAAGCUCAACAUGAUAAAGGCUAGAUAUUUAUGCUAACACUUAACUAGUUCCACAAAGCUUUAUUGUCUAUUUGAGCUCCACAGAAUUCAAGGAUCAAAGAAGACUAGCAGACUAGCAGACGAAGGACAUCCUAAUCGCUGUCAGGGUACUGCUGACAUUCAAAUAUACCUCCGUCACCUGCUAGCUACAUUAGAGGAAAUUACGUCAAAAUCCAGCUUGGGGGAGAGCACCCCCAUUUAUCGAGCUAAGUGUUUCUACUCACGUUUAUAUUUUACUCAAAUAAUAAAAAGAUGCAUAAUCAUAAAAACACAAAUAAAGAUUUUGUGCUUAUAUAUAUAUCUUUGCUUAGUUUGCUAAAUAAAUAAAUAAAUAAAGUUUGCUAUGAACCCUCAUGAUAAGCUCUCACAUAGAAAUGAUGAAUAGUUGCUCUGCCAUGAUUAGUUCUAAAAAUUGAAAUCUCUCUUAAGUUUAGGCAUGACUGUUAUUAAUUGAGAUUUGCUCUAAACCUGAACUUGUGGGGAGAGUACUUGAUCUGAAGUCUAAGUCGUUAACGGAUAUGAUAUGGAAAGGUUGAGCUGCUGUUUAUCUGUUCCUAGAGAUGCUAGAAUUCUGGAGAAUUUUAUCUUUGAAAAUCAUUAAAAUAACACAUGAUGAGUUCCUGUAUGAUGAGAGUUUAAUUUCCUACCACAGCCAUAUAUACAUGCUUAUUAGACUAUGAACCACACAUUUACUUUACUGCUUAUGAGCAUUGAGUAUGGUCAAGCUGUGUAGACCCUUAGGAGCUUGUCAUGUGGUUAAAUCAAGAUUCACUUGCACGUUCACUCAUACAUGCUACUUCUACUUCAGAAGUACGCAUCCACAUAUAUCCAUCCAUUUCCAUCUCCAAAACCACCCAAAAAUAUUCUACUCCUAAUCCGGGAGAGAAUAGCCAAAAAUAUUUCUGUUUUUCCCCUAUGAAAUAAAUGCUCGAGUUAUCUUGGUUACUACCACUUGCUACAUUAUUUUAAGAGAUGAGUGCUCUAAAAAAAAGAGAAGAGAGAAAAAAAAGAUACGAGGAAAUAAAAAGGGGCAAGUGCCCGGAACCUCGAAAGAAAAAAAAAGUGAGACGAGAGGUAAAAAUGGACAAGUGUCCGACAGUAUAAUUAGGGGUACAAGAUACCCACCUGAGAGGAAAGAAAAAGAAAAUACAGAGCAUCUCAUUCUCCCCAAAAGUUUCAAAAGAGCAAGGAAGGUAUGUAUCCCCUCAAAAGAGCAAAAGUAGAAUUAGACUUUCACCAUUGUUUCCACCAUUAUCACCAUCAUCACCAUUGUUAUCACCAUUCAUUCGCCACACAUGCACAUCUUGAUUUGACUUAUUGACUUGUUCUUCUGGAUCCAUGGUUUGACUAUACAAUAAAUGUCUUGUAAGUAUGUAUUAGCUGUCUCCCACCUAUGAGCUCCAGAUAUUAAAACCUUAUUAGAGUAGGGUGAGAGAGAAGGCAAUGUCACUAUGCCUCAUACCACAAAUACCACAUACUUUGAGAGAAGGCAUACACCAUCAAUGCCUUGGUAAGGAUCCAGAAAUACCACAAAAGAGAGACUAGAGAGAGUCAUACAAGGAAUCUCUGAGUUUUAUUUGAAAAUCUGCAAAAACUCCAGAGCUAUAGCUGAUCAAGAAUAAGAGACAUGGUGCUUGACUAGACCGUUCUAUCUUUUAACUACUCAAGACAGAAGUGACGGUUACAAGUCCCAUGGUGAAAGGUAAAUGAGUAAGUUUGAAGUCUUAACAGUUUACUCUAACCAGAGAUGAGAUCUUGUUUAAACGCAUGUGUAUCUUUAAGUUAUGAAACCACCGCAGAAACUCUUGAGUCAAUCUUUGCUCAGGGACGAGCAAAGGUUAAGCUUGGGGGAGCUUGUUGACGGUCCUUAAUGCUCAUAUUUAACCAUCAAUUAAUCAUAGAAAAGGACCCAAAUGCAACCAACACCUAGACUUAGGGUUUUAUCCGACAGAAUUCCACAAGUUUUGGUGUUUGUCUAUUUCUGCAGGGGGUUAUCAGGAAAUACGGAAGAAAGGCCCACACGUCGGGUUUACAUAGAGAUAUUAACGUGCCGCGUAAUUUUCUAUCAUCUAGAAGACUCCAGAAGCCACGGGACCGAAGCGGAAGACGAGAGGCCUCAGGGUCAGGGCGCCCACCCUAGUCCUGAGGGCGCCCGCCCUCCCCCCUGGACCAAUCAGGGUGAAGUUCGGGGAUCAUGCUCCACCGACCUAAUACUUCAAGGAAAACCACACGAUCAAUGUCGGUUUGAUCCGACGACCCAGAUUCACUUGAAGGGACUAUAAAACCAGACCCCCCUGGCCCCUGGAGAUCAUACCUCUUCUACAGAAUCAAAGUUAGGGUUUCAAUUCUUCAUCCAAGUAGAGAGGAUCCCUCUAGUUCUUCUAGUUCUACCUCUAGUUCAUCUAGAUCUAGUUCUAGUUCAUCUAGUUCUAGUUCUAGUUCUAGUUCCUCUAGUUCUAGUUCUAGUUAGUUCUAGUUGUAAUCUAGAAAAUAGGGAGAGAGAAGAGGAGAGCGGAGGAGGAGCCGGAUCUGUCGGAUCUUCCUCAACAUUGUACUUUUGCAGCAACUGGUUCGUUCUUCAUCGUUCUCCAGGUUCAUCAAUUCAUAAUUCCUGAGUUCUUUAAUUACUUUUAUUUACAUUCAAGUUAUUUAUUGGAUUCCCGCUUGCAUCAAGUGCUCUAGUCUUUAUAACGCUAGAGUAGUAAUUAAUAGAUUAGACGUGGUGUUUAGUCUUGCGAUUACCUGGAAUUGCACCCAAUCCCACGGAUUGUUGUGGUAGCCCUAGGGUAGUGACAGCCCUAACGGUCGACGUAUUCCACCACGUUCGGAUCGGUGUUUGUAGGACCGUAGUCAGACCUUCCUAGCCCCCUUCUCAUCUCUUUCUGUGGUUAGUGCUCUGAUGUCCCGAUAUAGAUAAUCUUGAAGUAAUUCUUGAUUCUUAGAUCAACUAGAGAACUCUCAGGAAACUUCCUCUCUUCCCACCAAAAAUAAUUAUAUAGUUAUCCUUGGGCGAUCUUGGAUCUUAAUUAGUACACUCACGUUCUCUGUGGAAAAUCGAUACUCUGGAAUACUCCUGGGUGAAAGCUACAUCGGUAUCCGUGCGCUUGCGGAUUUUUCUGUUUGCGUUUAAAAUACCCAACACUACAUCGGUAUUAAUUUGUGCGCUUGCAGAUCUCAUUUAUUAUUCAUUUAGAAGAGCAAUUGCAUAUUUCAAUACCGCGUCUCUCAUGUCAUGCUUGGGAUGACAACUCAGCUUAAGUGGCAUGAGGGAUAGGUUUGGCAUUUCUGGCGCUAUUAUCAGAAUUAGAAAACUAUGUCUACUUUUGGUAAUGAUGUUAAGAAUGCCCAACAAGCAUUUUUGGCGCCGUUGCCGAGGAAGGAUGAUUACUAAUCAGGAAUGAAUAUGGAAUUUCAAGUCAUCAUUCACAUCACUAAUAUGAUUGAGAUUAUCAAUUCUCUCAUAUAGUUUUACCCUGAUAUUUUUCUAUUUUAUUUUAUGCAGGGUAAUGUAUGAAUAGAAGACAUCUUCAAGGAAAUUUAGUUUACAAUCCCGAAGCGUUAUUCAGAAAAACAAGAGCCAUGCUCAAGAAGAGAUCAUCAACACUACAGCACGAAGCUUCAUCCAAUCAAGAAGAUCACCGAAGUUUCACCUGGAACUUGUCUUCAAAGUUCGAAGUCAUUGCGAACAGAUCAAUGAAGCUGUCACUAUCACGAACUACCCGACGAUCUGGCAUAUUGGGUACAAUCGCAGAUAAAUACGGUAUAAGCACCACGCCUACACAAUAUCUAUCAUUUACCCAUGGAUCUGAUGGAUAAACGGUAUACGAUCCUAAGCAUUUAUAUAGAUCCAAUCUAACUAAGCCAUGUACAUAACUAUGAUAAACUAAGAACAAUAUAAUCUUGAAAAUAAGCAAGUGAGCAAAGUCAUAAGCAAUAUAUUGAAGUAGAACAAAGUCAAAUUCAUAAUAUUGAAGAACAAAGAUAAUUAGAAAGCAAUUAGAAGCACAAUUAGAGAAUUACCAAGAAUCCUCUUGACAGAUCCGGAAACCAAUCAAAGAUUGACUCCUUCUAGUUCUAAUCCUAUGUAGCUAUGCUAAUCUAGAUGUCUAAUUGAUGUGGUGGCUCUAAUCUUGAUCAUGGGCUUCUUCUCCCAUGAGAAUAAUGAAUUAGGGUUGAGAGGCUUUCUCCUACAGGGGCCAGGGGGUCUGGUUUUAUAGUCCCUUCAAGUGAAUAUGGGCCGUUGGAUCAAACCGACUUAGAUUGAAUGGUUAUCCUUGAUCCUUUAGGUCGGUGGAGAUCUCCCACGAAGCAAAGUCCUGAUUGGACUCUCAGAAGGGGCGGGCGCCUAGGGCAGGAGGGCGGGCGCCCUGCCUGUGGCCCCGUUUCGCCUCCGCUUCGGUCUCGUGGCUUCUGGAGUCUUCUAGAUGUAAGAUAAUUGUGCGGCACGUUAAUAUCUCCAUGUAAUCCCGACGUGUGGGCCUUUCUUCCGUAUUUCCUGAUAACCCCCUACAGAAAUAGACAAACACCAUAACUCGUGGAAUUCUGUCAGAUAAAACCCUAAGUCUAGAUGUUGAUUUCAUUUGGAUCCUUUUCUUUGUUUAUUUGAUAAUAAAUUUGAUACUUAAGGACCGUAAACAAACUACCACAAGCUUACCUCUUGCUCGUCCCUGAGCAAGGAUAGACUCAGCGAUAGAUUAAAAGUUGUUGCAAUAUCUUUAAAAAUUGACGGUACACAUGCUUUUAAAUGAGGUCUUAUCUCUAAGUUAGAGUAAACUGUCAAGACUUAAAACUUACUUACUUUACCUUAACCAUGGGACUUGUAACCGUCACUUCCAUCUUGAGUAGUUAAAAGAUAGCACAGUCUAGUCAAGUGCCAUGUCUCUUAUUCUUGAUCAGCUAUAGCUCUGGUGUUUUUGCAGAUUUUCAAAUAAAACUCAGAGAUUCCUUGUAUGAUUCUCUCAAAUCUCUCUUUUGUGGUAUUUCUGGAUCCUUACCAAGGCAGUGAUGGUAUAUGCCUUCUCUCAAGAUAUGUAGUAUUUGUGGUAUAAAGCAUAGUGACAUUGCCUUCUCUCUCACCCUACUCUAAUAAGGCUUUAAUAUCUGGAGCUCAUAGGUGGGAGAUAAAGUAUACAUACUCACAAGAUAUUUAUUGUAUAGUCAAACCAUGGAUCCAAAGAAACAAAUCAAUAAGUCAAAUCAAGAUGUGCAUGUGUGGCGAAUGAAUGGUAUAUGGUGAUGAUGGUGAUAACAAUGGUGAACGUCUAAUUCUACUUUUGCUCUUUUGAGGGGAUACAUACCUUCCUUGCUUUUUGAAAUUUUAUGAGGAGAAUCAGAUGCUCUAUCUUUUUUUUCUCUUAGGUGGGUAUCUUGUACCCCUAAUUCUACUGUCGGACACUUGUCCAUUUUUACCUCUCGUCUUACUUUUUCUUUUCUUUCGAGGUUCCGGGCACUUGCCCCUUUUUAUUUCCUCGUAUCUCUUUUUUUAGAGCACUCAUCUCUUGAGAUAAUAUAGCAAGUGGUAGUAACAAGAUUUCUUGAGCAUUUAUUUCAUAGGGAAAACAGAAAUAUUUUUGGCUAUUCUCUCCCGGAUUAGGAGUAGAAUAUUUUUAGGUGGUUCUGGAGAUGAAAAUGGGUGGAUAUAUGUGGAUAGCACUUCCGGAGUAGAAGUAGCAUAUAUGAGUGAACGUGCAAGUGAGUCUUGAUUUAACCACAUGACAAGCUCCUAAGGGUCUACACAGCUUGACCACAGUAAAUGCUCCUAAGCAGUAAAUAGUAAAUGUGUGGCUCAAAAUCUAGCAAGCAUGUAUAUAUGGCUGUGGUAGGAAUUUAAAACUCUCAUCAUACAAGAACUCAUCAUGCAACAUUUUAAAGAUUUUCAAAGAUAAAAUUCUCCAGAAUUCUAGCAUCUCUAGGAAUAGAUAAAUAGCAGCUCAACCUUCCCAUAUCGUAUCUGUUAACAACUUAGACUUCAGAUCAAGUUUUCAUCCCACAAGUUUAGGUCUAGAGCAAGCUUUAAAUUAUAACAGUUAUGUCUAAACUUGAGAGAGAACUUAAAAUGUGCAAAUUAGCCAGAGCAACUAUUCAUCAUAUCCAUGCUUGAGUUUUAUUAUUAAGAUACAGAUUAGCAUAGCCACUUUAUUUAUUUAUUAAACACACUAAGCAAAAGAUACAUAUAUAUAUAAGCAUAAAAUCUUUAUUUGGUUUUUCAUAGUUAUAUUUUAAUAUAGUAUAAGUAUAAAUAUAGAUAGAAAUACUUAUCGGGAUAAAUGGAGGUGCUCUCCCCCAACCUGAAUUUUGACGUAAUUUCUCUUGAUGUAGCUAGCAGGUGGCAGAGGUGUAUUUGAAAGUCAGCAGCAUUCUGACAGCGAUUAGAAUGUCCUCCGUCUGCUAGUCUUCUUGAUUCUUAAAUCCUGUGGAGCUCAAAUAGACAACAAAGCUUGUGGAACUGAUUAAGUGUUAGCAUAAAUAUCUAGCCUUUAUCAUGUUGAGACUCCUUAAUAAUUAUUACUCCCUAUUUUUAUAUUUUCGUUUUAUAGAAAAGAAAUAUUUAUUUUAUUUUUAUGCCACCACAGUGAAUGUACUUAUGGGUUUUAUGCCACUCGUAUACUCACAUGGGGCUUACUGUUUUUCAUAUUUUUAUUUUCUUUUUAGAGUAGUAUGAACAUGAUUAACUAAGCGAACUAUUUGAAAUUAACUAAGUAAACUAUUUUAAAUAAUUGAAAGGAAAAGGAUAACUACAAAGUUUACCUCUUGCCAAGGCGUUUGGUGUUUUUAAGUCCUCCGAACGGGACUCUCCGUUUUCUCAAUUGUCCUGGGAUUCGUUGGGUGGCGUAGUCGGUACUUCCGGCGGCGCCUCCUCUUCCUAUAUAGUUAUCUUCUCUUUCCAUACCUGACUCGGUGCUACGGUCUCCUCUGGAUAAUUCUGUUUAAACUGAAUGUCUUCUGACCUUACAACUUCUCCUUCAUAGUCUGCGCAUCCGUCCUUGAUAAUCUGCCUCCUCUGGUUGCGGUUGCGUCGUCUUCUGACCUGCUUAGAGUCUUCAACGAUAUAGUUAGGGUCAAUAAAAUAACGGCGUACCUUCUCUGAGGGGAAGUGCAUAUGGACUUCUCCAGUUCCAAUGUAGAUGAUUGCUUUAACGGUGCCGAGGAACGGUCUUCCAAGGAUGAUGGGUGGAUCGUACUCGUCUUCUCCCAUGUCAAUAACCUGAAAGUCUGUGUAGACAAAAUGAUCGUCUAUUUUGACUGGGACAUCAGUUACUGUUCCUUUAACUUCUCGCAACGUCUGAUCUGCCAUCUGGAGCUGAAUGUAUGUUGGUUUUAGGGGCAUGGUUCCGAACAAGAGCCGAUAGGUGACUGCGGCCAUUAUGUUGACGCCCGAUCCAGUGUCGCAAAACGUCUUGUAGAAGCUGUAUCCAUUUAAGGAGCAAUAGAUGCUUGGCAUUCCUGGGUCAUCCUUCUUGGUCAAAAAUGGUGACUUAAGUUGAUGAUCUUGGCCUCCAUGAACUGCAGUGACCAUCUUAGCUUACUCGGUCCACACUUGCUUGUUCCUAUUCCUCCUGUUGGUCCUCUUCCUUGGUUCAUGUCUGGAUUGAUAUGGGAUUUGUGUAGUCUUGUUCUUGAAGAAAAAUGUCUCCUUCCUCCCUUUGAUGUAGAAACUGAUCUUGGCAGCGCUAGCGUAGAUGAUAGCUCCCGUGGUGUUCAAGAAUGGCCUCCCUAAGAUGAUGGGUGCCCUCUCAUCAUUUCCGGUCUCUACCACUACGAAGUCUGCUGGGGCAUACAAGGUACCAACUCGGAUGCAAAGGUCCUUCAAUAUUCCCUUUGGAAAACUUAUCGCCUGAUCUGCAAACUGCAAACACAUGGUUGUUUCUAAUAAAGGAUAUGUAAAGAGUUUUUCAUAGAGUACCCUGGGUAUAAUGUUGACGCUGGAGCCAAAGUCGCAGAGUGCUUCUGGGACGUCCACCAUGCCGAUGGAGAUCGGGAUGACGGGGCGUCCUGGAUCACCUCUCUUGACCGGCAGAAGGUCAGUAGUAAAUUCAGUGACAGGGUUACUCCAAUUACCUGCAUCAUGUCUACAAGAUGCAGAUUCUAAUCCUUCCGGUUGUGAUGGUAUACCGGGGUUAGUAGUAGGAACAGCAGCAGCUAUUUGAUUUAACUGAGAUUCAAUCAUUUUAUUAAAGCCAAUUUGAUUCUUGAUGGCAGUAGAGAAAUUAUCUAUUCUAUUAUUUAUAUUUUCUAGCAUUUUCUCAUUAGAUGCCAAUUUCUUAGAUAGAUUAUCCAUUAGCUUUCCUUGAUUAGACACUAACUCUCUCAAAGGUGGAAAAUUAUUAUUAUUGUUGUAAGAAUUAUUACCUUGAUAAUUACCUGAGUAGUUAGGCCUCUGUUGAUUCCAACCUUGAUUUUGUUGAGGACGGUUGUAGUAGUUGUUGUUAUUGUUGAUGUAGUUCACAUCCUCAAGCAUCUCAGGACAGUGAUUGCCUGAGUGUCCAGUGUCUCCACACUCCUCACAAGUGAUGUGAGAGUCGUAGGUAGAUGUGCAUGACUUCCUUCUUGUCUCCACCUCUAUCGUCGAGCUUCUUCAUGAGCAGGUCUAGCUUUGCAGACAACAUGUCUACCUCCUUGAGCUGAUGCAUACCUCCACCUCUCUUGCGUGUCUGGGUCCUCUCUUCAUUCCAGCUUUGGUUGGACGCCAUCUUCUCCACAAGAGCUGUGGCUUGUGGUAUAGUAAGUGAUAAGAAUGCUCCUCCAGCUGCAGCAUCCAUGGUCUCUCGGGCACUGUUGCCGAGCCCAUGAUAAAAUGUCUGCAUCAAUAGCCAACUCUCCAUUCCAUGAUGGGGACAUUCUAGGAUGUAGUCUUGAAAGCGCUCCCAUGCUUCUGGAACAGAUUCAUCAUUUUGUUGCUGAAAACUUAUAAUCUUCCCACGGAGAGCAUUGGUCUUGCCCAUGGGAAAGAACUUAGCCAGGAAGUUUGUUCAGCAUAGUGCCCACGUAGUAUUCUUCUCCUUUGUAGCGUAGAACCACUGCUUCGCUCUCCCUAACAGUGAGAAUGGGAAGAGGCGAAGUAGUAUAGCAUCUCUGGACACUCCUGAUAUGGUAAAUGUGUUGCAAAUCUCCAGAAAGUGUUGGAGAUGAGCACUAGCAUCUUCGUGUGCCUUCCCAGAGAACUGGUUGGAUUGCACCAUGUUGAUAAGUCCAGGCUUGAGCUCAAAGUUGCCAUCGAUCUCUGCAGCAGGUCCAGUGCGGAUGUUGUCCGUAGUGGGAGCUGAGAACUCGCGGAUUGAUUUGUUCGCCAUGGCUUCGAACUCCGAAGACAAGUUCCGGUGAUCUUCUUGAUUGGAUGAAGCUUCUUGCUGAACUGUUGAUGAUCUCUUCUUAAGCUUGGCUCUAGUUCUUCUGAAUAACGCUUCGGGAUUGUCAACAAAAUUUCCUGGAAGAUGUCUUCUAUUCAUACAUUCCCCUGCAUAAGAUAAAAUAGAAAAAUAUGGGGGUAAACCUGUAUGAGAGAAUAGAUAAGCUCAAUCAUAUUAGUGAUGCGAAUGAUAACUCAAAAUCUUUUAUUCCAUUCCUGAUUGGUAAUCAACCUUCCCCGGCAACGGCGCAAAAAAUUCUUGUUGGGUAUUCUUAUCAUCAUUACCAAAAGUAGACUUAGUUUUCUAAAUCUAGUAACAGUGCCAAAAAUGCCAAACCUAUCGCUCAUACCACUUAAGCCAAGUUGGCAUCCCCAGCAUGACAUGAGAGACGCGGUAUUGAAAUAUGUAAUUGCUCUUCUAAAUAAAUAAUGAAUGGGAUCUGCAAGCGCACAGAUUAAUACCGAUGUAGCAUUUUAACCGGGAAGUGUUCCAGGUAUCGUUAUUUAUAUUUUUACCACUAGAAAGGGAUUAGCAAUCAUCAAUAUUGAUUACAGAAUAGAAUAUGAGAUUGAGCAUCUAUCAUUGCAUGUAUAAUUGAGAACAUAUAUCUAACUCUUUCAUACAGGGAUAAGUGUCACAUAAAAGAUAUAUGAAAUAAUGAAUAGUGACAAAGAUAAUUAAUCUGAUCAUAACUUAGCCACAUAAUAAAUAUGAUAAGCACCUCAAUUAGAUACUCUAGAAAGUCAUUAGCAUGGAAUUAGAAUGAACUACAAGAAUAUUUCCUAAGUUAUUCUCAGCUAUAUAGUCUAGCAUUAUCUUAAUUAGUGCAAGCAUACUUAGCAAUCAUUGUGAGACAAGACUACGCCCAUGCAUAGUGAUAUUAGCAAGGAAUAUGAGAAACAUAGCAAUCACAACCCUGUAAUAAUAUUGCUCUGUCAGCCCAAUACACGAGAGGGGGACUAUAUAAGAAUCAAUGAAGCUGUCACUAUCACAAACUACCCCACGAUCUGGCAUAUUGGGUACAAUCAUAGAUAAAUACGGUAUAAGCACCACGCCUACACAAUAUCUAUCAUUUACCCAUGGAUCCGAUGGAUAAACGCUAUACGAUCCUAAGCAUGUGUAUAGAUCCAAUCUAACUAAGCCAAGUACAUAACUAUGAUAAACUAAGAACAAUAUAAUCUUGAAUAUAAGCAAGUAGAGCAAAGUCAAAAGCAAUAUAUUGAAGUAGAACAAAGUCAUAUUCAUAAUAUUGGAGAACAAAGAUAAUUAGAAAGCAAUUAGAAGCACAAUUAGAGAAUUACCAAGAAUCCUCUUGACAGAUCCAGAAACCAAUCGAAGAUUGACUCCUUCUAGUUCUAAUCCUAUGUAGCUAUGCUAAUCUAGAUGUCUAAUUGAUGUGGUGGCUCUAAUCUUGAUCAGGGGCUUCUACUCCCAUGAGAAUAAUGAAUUAGGGUUGAGAGGCUCUCUCCUACAGGGGCCAGGGGGUCUGGUUUUAUAGUCCCUUCAAGUGAAUAUGGGCCGUUGGAUCAAACCGACUUAGAUUGAACGGUUAUCCUUGAUCCUUUAGGUCAGUGGAGAUCUCCCACGAAGCAGAGUCCUGAUUGGAGUCUCAAAGGGGGCGGGCGCCCAGGGCAGGAGGGCGGGCGCCCUGCCUCUGGCCUCGUUUCGCCUCCGCUUCGGUCUCGUGGCUUCUGGAGUCUUUUAGAUGUAAGAUAAUUGCGUGGCACGUUAAUAUCUCCAUGUAAUCCCGACGUGUGGGCCUUUCUUCCGUAUUUCCUGAUAACCCCCUACAGAAAUAGACAAACAACAUAACUUGUGGAAUUCUGUCAGAUAAAACCCUAAGUCUAGAUGUUGAUUUCAUUUGGAUCCUUUUCUUUGUUUAUUUGAUAAUUAAAUUUGAUACAUAAGGACCGUCAACAGUAUGCCAAGCAUCCAGUGCUCCAUUAAUGGAUACAACUUCCACAAGACGCUUUGCGACACCGGGUCGGGUGUCAACAUAAUGGCCGCAGUCACCUGUGAGCUCCUAUUCGGAACCAUGCCCCUAAAACUGACAUACAUUCAGCUCCAGAUGGCAGAUCAGACAUUCUGAAAGGUUGAAGGUAUAGUAACUGAUGUCCCUAUCAAAAUAGACGAUCAUUUUGUCCAUAUAGAUUUUCAGGUUAUUGACAUUGGAGAAGACGAGUAUGAUCCACCCAUCAUCCUUGGAAGACCGUUUCUCAGCACCGUUAAAGCAACCAUCUACAUUGGAACUAGAUAAGUCCACAUGCACUUCCCCUCUGAGAAGGUACGCCGCCAUUUUACUGACCCUAAUUAUAUAGUUGAAGACUCUAAGUAGGUCAGGACAAGAAGAAGACGACGCAACCGCAACCAGAAGAGGCAAAUCAUCAAGGACGGAUGGACAGACUACGAAAGAGAAGUGGUAAGGUCUGAAGACAUACAGCUUGAACAGAAUUGUCCUAAGGAGGCCGUAGCACUGAGUCAGGUGUGGAGAGAGAAGAUAGUUAUACACGAAGAAGAGGCGCCGCCGGAACCACCGACUACGCUAUCCAGCGAAUCCCAGGACAACUGAGAAAAUAGAGAGUCCCGUUCGGAGGACUUAAAAACGCCGAACGCCUUGCCAAGAGGUAAACUUGAUAGUUAUCCUUUUCCUUUCAAUUAUUUAAAAUAGUUUGCUCAAUUAAUCAUGUUCAUACUAUCCUAAAAAGAAAAUAAAAAUGUUAAAAAUAGUAAGCCCCAUGUCAGUAUACAAGUGGUAUAAAACCCAUAAGUACAUUCACUAUGGUGGCAUAAAAAUAAAAUAAUGAUAUUUUUCUGCUUUAUAAAAUAAAAAUAUAAAAAUAAGAUUGUGAUCCUACCAAAGAGAGUAAUAUUUAUUGAGGAGGCUCAACAUGAUAAAGGCUAGAUAUUUAUGCUAACACCUAAUCAGUUCCACAAAGCUUUGUUGUCUAUUUGAGCUCCACAGAAUUUAAGGAUCAAGCAGACUAGCAGACGGAGGACAUUCUAAUCGUUGUGAGGUACUGCCGACUUUCAAAUACACCUCUGCCACGUGCUAGCUACAUUAGAAGAAAUUACGUCAAAAUUCAGCUUGAGGGAGAGCACCCCCAUUUAUCCCGAUAAGUAUUUCUAUACUUAUACUAUAUUAAAAUAAAAAUAUACAUAACCAUGAAAAAACCAAAUAAAGAUUUUGUGCAUAUAUAUAUAUAUAUCUUUUGCUUAGUGUGCUUAAUAAAUAAAUAAAGUGGCUAUGCUAAACAUAAUCUUAAUAAAACUCUAGUGUGGAUAUGAUGAAUAGUUGCUCUCCCUAAUUUUCAAAUUUGAGUUCUUUCUCAAGUUUAGACAUAACUGUUAUAAUUUAAAGCUUGCUCUAAAUCUGAACUUGUGGGAAGAGAAUUUGAUCUGAAGUCUAAGUUGUUAACGGAUAUGAUAUGGGAAGAUUGAGCUGCUGUUUAUCUAUUCCUAGAGAUGCUAGAAAUCUGGAGAAUUUUAUCUUUGAAAAACUUUAAAAUAUCACAUGAUGAGUUCUUGUAUGAUGAGAGUUUAAAUUCCUACCACGGCUAUAUAUACAUUCUUGCUAGACUUUGAGCCACACAUUUAGUUUUUACUGCUUAUGAGCAUUGAGUGUGGUCAAGCUGUGUAGACCCUUAGGAGCUUGUCAUAUGGUUAAAUCAAGAUUCACUUGCACGUUCACUCACACAUGAUGCUUCUACUCCGGAAGUACUCCUAAUCCGAGAGAGAAUAGCCAAAAACAUUCUCCUAUUUCUGUUUUUCCCUGUGAAAUAAAUGCUCGAGUUAUCUUGGUUCCUACCACUUUCUAUAUUAUUUCAGGAGAUGAGUGCUCUAAAAAAAAGCGAUACGAGGAAAUAAAAAGGGGAAAGUGCCCAGAACCUCGAAAGAAAAGAAAAAGUGAGACGAGAGGUAAAAAUGGACAAGUGUUCGACAGUAGAAUUAGGGGUGCAAUACCCAUCUGAGAGGAAAGAAAAGGAAAAUAUAGAGCAUCUCAUUCUCCUCAAAAAAGUUUCAAAAGAGCAAGAAAGGUAUGUACCCCUCAAAAGAGCACAAAAAGUAGAAUUAGACUUUCACAUUGUUAUCACCAUCAUCACCAUACACCAUUCAUUCGCAACACAUGCACAUCUUGAUUUGACUUAUUGACUUGUUUCUCUGGAUCCAAGGUUUGACUAUGCAAUAAAUGUCUUGUAAGUAUGUAUACUUUAUCUCCCACCUAUGAGCUCCAGAUAUCAAAGCCUUAUUAGAGUAGGAUGAGAGAGAAGGCAAUGUCACUAUGCCCUAUACCGCAAAUACUACAUAAUUUGAGAGAAGGCAUGUACCAUCACUGCCUUGGUAAGGAUCCAGAAAUACUACAAAAGAGAGAUUUGAGAGAGUCAUACAAGGAAUCUCUAAGUUUUAUUUGAAAAUCUGCAAAAACUACAGAGCUAUAGCUGAUCAAGAAUAAGAGACAUGGCACUUGACUAGACCGUUCUAUCUUCUAACUGCUCAAGACAGAAGUGACUGUUACAAGUCCCAUGGUAAAAGGUAAAAUGAGUAAGUUUUAUGUCUUGACGGUUUACUCUAACUCAGAGAUGAGACCUCAUUUAAAAGCAUGUGUAUCAUCAUCUUUUAAUGGCAUUCCAACAACUUCUGAUCCAUCACUGAGAUUAUCCUUGCUCAGGGACAAGCAAGAGGUAAGCUUGGGGGAGUUUGUUGACGGUCCUUAAGUAUCAAAUAUAAUCAAUAAAUAAACAAAGAAAAGGAUCCAAAUGCAACCAACACCCAGACUUAGGGAUUUAUCUGACAGAAUUCCACAAGUUUUGGUGUUUGUCUAUUUCUACAGGGGGUUAUCAAGAAUUAUGGAAGAAAGGCCCACAUGUCGGGUUUACAUAGAGAUAUUAACGUACCGCCCAACUAUCCAACAUCUAGAAGAGUCCAGAAGCCACGGGAACGAACGGGAGACCGAACGGGCCCGGGGGCAGGGCGCCCACCCUCCCCCCUUGGAUGCCCACCCUGGUCUAAGGACCAAUCACAUUCAACCUAGUGGAUCAUGCUCCACCGACCUAAAAGGAUCAAGGAAAACGAUGCGAUUAAUGUCGGUUUGAUCCGACGGCCCACAUUCACUUGGAAGGACUAUAUAAGCAGACCCCCUGGCCCGUGGAGGAGAGCACCUCUAUCUCUCGGGAGAAUAACCCUCUGAUCAAGCCCUAGAGCCACCACAUCAAUAGAUCUCUAGUUUAGCAUAGCUACAUAGGAUUAGAACUAGAAGGAGUCAAUCUUCGAAUGGUUUCCGGAUCUGUCAAGAGGAUUCUUGGUAAUUCCUCUAUUGUUCUUCAUUUGUUCAUCAUUGUUCCUCAAUAUUAUGAAUAUGACUUUGUUCUACUUCAAUAUAUUGAUUAUGACUUUGCUCUAUUUGUUUGUAUUUGCAAUUAUAUUGUUCUUAGUUUAUUAUAGUUAUAUGCUUGGCUUAGUUAGAUUGGAAUUAUAUACAUGUUUAGGAUCUGUUGACACCGUUUUUGGGCACGUGUCUAGGAUGGCAGGAUAAGGUGGCAGUACGAUGUUUACAAAGUGGGUUGCCGAUGAGGAUGGUUGCCGAUGAGGGAGAAGUUGAACGUGACUAAGUCCACAGGCAGUAAUAUUGUGCCGAUGGCUAGAUAAGAAAGUCUGCCGAUGACUAUGGCAAAGGGUCUGCCGAUGAUGCAAAGAGGGAGUCCGGAAGCUGCCGGUCGUUAUGUGGAGGAGUUUCGGUUUGUCACGAGGGAUAGUGUUGUUAUUUCCUUAAUUAUUUACAUCAUUUUAUAUACGGAUUCCGUGUAAUUUGGAAUUCAAAUUCUAAUCGUGUCUGGUUGUAGCUCUUUGAGCAGGGUAUAAAUAUAGACCCUAGGGCCUUGUAAUGAAAAAUCAAUCAAUCAAUCAAUCAAACACACGUUUUUACUCAUAUUCCAGCAUCUACUUUUCGACGACUUCGUCAUACUUUUUUCCUUUUGUUACGAGUUCUUAGGAAUUCGUCGACUUAAGCUCGGCGUGUUCUCAAGUUCCGCAUGAGUACCUCUUAGCCGUGACAUCCGGGCGCAUCGCUGUUGUCAGGACUAAAGUAUUCGAGUUAUCACCUUUGCCGAUAGCAAGGUCAAAUCGGCUGGCACGCCUUAACGUUUGAAUCGGGUAUUAGCCCUUUGUGUUUGCAGAUCAGUUUUGCAUCAACACAUCUUUUGGCACGCUCGGUGGGACCAGAUUCAAGAUCAAGAUCAACAUGUCGAUCUCUGACCUCGAUCAAGAGAACGUCAUCCCCGUGACGGAGGCCAACCUCAAGGAUGAGCAGAAGCAAGCUAUUGCCCAAGCCAUGGAAGAGUUCAAGCAGCAAUGCCUGAGGUCUUUCAGCAUAAACAGGAGUGGCGAAGUGGUCCAGAAAGAUGCACUGCCGGCACCACGGCAGGUUACCUUUGACGCCAAUCCUGGCAAGCUUCAAGAUAUGGUUGACAAUGCCAUCAAUCGAGCGUUGAUUAACCAAGCUGGUGUACUGUCUAAUACGGUUUUCAAUGCCGUGGCAAGAACUUUCAAGGAAGGACAAAUCCCACCAGAUUAUGUGGGCCCCUCCCAUCAUCAGCCAACGGCACCAGAGGUCACGGAUCCAUCGGCUGCUUUGACGACUGCAAGUGCACAAUCUGCCGUCCCUCCAAGUACAUCGGGGACUGCUGGUGCACUAUCUAUGCCGAUGACAACCAACCCACAAAUUUCAGUUGGGCAGCAUAAACUGACAACAGAUAUGUUGGCAUCAGCAAUGUCAGGGUUGACUCUUCCUCCCAACUGGUGGGGUUACGGUAUGCCUCCAGAGUUGACACCGGGAACAUCACAAAUAACUUACAUGAGGGGCAAAACUCCUAUGACAUCGGCACCUCCCAAUGCGCCGGUGAACCAGAGUCCUCGGUAUACCACAACUACUACUGCAAGGCCUCACACUGGAAAUCCUCAAGAUUCAAUGUUCCAGAUGCCCAACGCAUCGGCAGAGUCAAUGCUGAUGCAACAGAGGUCUAUGGCCCAGUCGGGGUAUGUCAAUUCAAUGACGGUACCCAAUUACCAAUCAUCGGCAGCACCUAUGCCGAUGAAUGCUAAUAAUGGAUGGCUUGGACAGCAAGCCUUUCCACAAUCGCCCCAGCAGAGUUACCAGACUACAGGGUUCCAGCAAGGGCAGGUCUAUCCCGGGUUCCAAGGUCAGGGGAUUCCCAACCAGCCAAUGAAUUUUGGACAGCAACUCGGGGGACAGCAACUCGGAGGACAGCCAAUCGGUGGACAGCAGUUUGGUGGUCUGCAGAUUGGAGGACAGGUGAUCAAUCCAAUGUUCCGUGCAGAUCACGUCCCGAACAGACACGUGGAGGUUCGCCACCAAGUGCCAGAUCCGCAGCCGCCUCAUCGGCAAGAUGCCGAUGCAUAUUGGGCCGAUAAGAUUGCUGAAGUAAUGAGGGAACAAUUUGGGAUAAAACCCAAAGUCAACACUUACUCUUAUCGGACACCGUAUCCUCCCGCGUAUGAUUUGAUCCCGCUUCCACAUCGGUACAAGGUACCGGAUUUUACAAAGUUUUCCGGGCAGGACGACACGUCAACCAUGGAGCAUGUCAACAGGUUCAUCAUUCAAUGUGGAGAGGCUGGUAACAGGGACGAAUUGAGGGUUCGUCUAUUUUCAUCAUCAUUGUCUGGAUCGGCCUUUACUUGGUUCAUAUCAUUACCUCCCAACUCAGUAAUUACUUGGGCCGAUCUAGAGAAACAAUUCCACAAAUACUUCUUUUCGGGGGUUCAUGAGAAGAAGAUCACCGACUUGGUCAAGUUGAGGCAACGUAAUGAUGAGUCGGUUGAGGGUUUUGUGCAGAGGAUACGAGAGGUCAAGAAUAAAUGCUAUAGCUUGGUUCUGGAUGAUCGGCAGCUAGCCGAUUUGGCUUUCCAGGGUUUGUUGCCACAUAUCAGGGAUAAGUAUGCCUCUCAGGAGUUCGAAAGUUUAAUUCAUUUGGUGUAGAGGAUUUCUGAUCAAGACAUCAAGCCUUUCGAGCCUAAAAGAGCACGGAAUAAGAAAGUGUCAUUUGUCGAUGAAGCAACAAGCUCAGAUUCUGAUGAAGAACCAGUAAUCGGCUUGGCAGAGUGGGUAAAAAACAAGAAGCCGAUGUCUUGUCCUUUUGGGCAGAAGGAACCAGAGAAGUUUGCUUUUGACACCGCUAAGGCUGAUAGGAUAUUUGACUUUCUACUUCAGGAAGGUCAGAUCAAACUGUCACCUAACCAUGUGAUCCCAUCGGCAGAAGAGUUGAAGAGGAUGAGAUAUUGCAAGUGGCAUAAUGCAACUUCCCAUGACACCAACGAGUGCAAAGUAUUCAGACAGCAGCUGCAAUCGGCUAUAGAGUCAGGGAGAAUCAAGUUUGACAGUUCCAAAGCCCAGAAGCCGAUGAAGAUAGACCAACAUCCUUUCCCGACAAACAUGUUGGAUGCUAAGGGGAAGGCUAAGGUCUUAACAUCGGAGACAGCUGAGAAGAGUGCAUCGGUAGAUCCUCAGCAUCAAGUUACUACUGCCGAUGCAAGAAGUAAGGGCUGGUCCAGGAAGGAACUAGCUCAGGAAGGCCUCCUCAAUCUGGUAUCGUCAUAACUCAUAGAAGGCCUCGAGAAAAUUGGCAACAACGGGAAGAUCGGUAUCGGCGCCAGCAGGAAGAUUAUCGACGGGAAGAAGAAAGACGCCGACAGAAGUGGAAUCGGCACAGGGAUCAUUGGAAUUGUCCAUUCUCCAUCCAUUGUUGGGAGGAAAAUAUCAAGCUUCCUACUGUCAGAGACUGCCCUGAGUGCAACGGUUAUGAUCGGUACGAUAGGACCGAUCGGCAUUAUCAUGAUGAUGAACGGCGAUUUAAUGGGCCAAUCAGAGGAAGGGUGUCAGUUCAUGACCGGCUGGGGGCAGAUUUAGUGGGCACGACAGACUUAGUGACCGUGUCCAGUAUUUUCCCAGGAACCAAGAAGAGCUCGAGGAAAUGGCUGAUGCGCGGGUUCCCGAUGAAUUCAUAUUUUGCAGGGAUGCUAACACGCAUCGUAUGGAGUCAAGGGAGAACCGACGCCCGACGGCAAGGCAAAGGCCACUUCCUCCAUGGUGCCCUAGAGGAUUAACCAAGACACAAAAAAGGAGAUUGCAACGUGAAAGGCAAGAGGAGCUAAACAAGGGAGAGAACUCUGGAAGUCGGCAGCCGUCAGACACUAAGAGGGAAGGUCCAUCGGCAGGCGUCAACAUGGUCUUCAUGUUGCCGAUGGAGUUUCUUGCACCAGCCAGUGAUGAUGAGUUGGAAUUUUCUGAUCAGAUAGCUCAGUUGGCUCUGGAUCCGAUGACGGCUAUCUUUGAGAAACCUGCCGAUGACGAGAGGCAGCAUCUUAAAGCUCUGUUCCUCAAAGGAAGGGUUGAUGGGCAGCCAAUGACCAAGAUCCUAGUUGAUGGUGGAGCUGCUAUUAAUAUUAUGCCGUAUGCAGUAUAUCGGAAGCUUGGGAAAGGGGAUCAAGAUUUGACCAAGACCGAUAUGAUGCUCAAAGACUUUGAAGGAAACGUGUCUCCAGUCAAGGGGGCGAUAUGUGUAGAGUUGACCAUCGGCAGCAAAACCUUGCCGACAACUUUUUUCGUGAUCAGCGGAAAAGGUGCUUACAACUUAUUAUUGGGAAGAGAUUGGAUUCAUGCCAAUUGUUGUAUCCCAUCUACAAUGCAUCAAUGCUUGGUUCAGUGGGUAGGUGACAAGAUUGAGAUUGUCCCAGGAGAUUCUUCUUAUGUUAUCGCAUCGGCAGAAGCGGAUACUUACGGAAGGACCAGGUGCAUUUCAGGAGAAGUUUGGGAGAAAGAUUUUCUCAAAGUUGCCGAUUAUGAGAUUCCACCGAUCCAAGCAGUCGGUUCUGACGACGGUUUUUAAUGGAUAGAUUCGCCGAUGAUGGAAAAUUAGGCCAGGGAUUCACAUCGGCCGAUGAUUUGGUAGAAGUAGAUAUAGGUAGUGGUGAUAAGCCUAGGCCUACUUUUAUUAGUGCUAAAUUAGAUCCUGAGUGUAAGCAACAGUUGACUAGUUUGUUAAAGGAAUAUAAAGAUUGCUUUGCUUGGGAUUAUACCGAGAUGCCUGGUUUAGACCGAUCAAUUGUUGAACAUCGGUUACCCAUCAAGUCUGGAUUUCGGCCACAUCAGCAACCAGCCCGCCGAUGUAAUCCUAACAUUCUACCUGAUAUUAAGGCCGAAAGCACCAAACUUAUUGAAGCUAAGUUUAUUCGGCAGUGUCGGUAUGCCGAGUGGAUUUCCAAUGUUGUUCCGGUUUACAAGAAGAACGGGAAGCUUCGGGUGUGCAUUGAUUUCAGGAAUCUCAAUAAAGCUACGCCGAUGGAUGGAUACCCAAUGCCUGUCGCCGAUCUACUGGUUGAUGCUGCGGCUAGUCAUCAGGUCAUCAGCUUCAUGGAUGGUAAUGCAGGUUACAAUCAAAUAUUCAUGGCGGAGGAGGAUAUUCCAAAAACCGCAUUCAGGUGUCCUGGUCAUGUUGGGCUAUUUGAAUGGAUAGUCAUGACUUUUGGGUUGAAGAAUGCUGGUGCUACUUAUCAAAGGGCUAUGAAUUUUAUAUUUCAUGAGUUCAUCGGCAAGCUCGUGGAGAUUUAUAUUGAUGAUGUGGUGGUCAAGUCUGGAGAUUUCUCAAAGCAUCUUGCCGAUUUACAAAAAGUGUUAGAGUGCACAAGGAAGCAUGGAUUGAAGAUGAAUCCCAACAAGUGUGCAUUUGGUGUAUCGGCAGGGCAGUUUCUUGGUUUCAUGGUACAUCAGAGGGGUAUUGAAAUUAGUCGAAGAUCCAUUGAUGCCAUCAAUAAAAUAGUGGCCCCUACCAACAAAACCGAGCUCCAAUCCUUGAUCGGCAAGGUAAAUUUUAUCAGGAGAUUUAUAUCGAAUUUGUCUGGUAAGAUUCGUGCUUUCAGUCCUCUUCUUAAAUUGAAAGCCGAUCAAGAGUUUAUUUGGGGAGAAGAACAGCAGUUGGCUCUCGAUGAAAUCAAGAAGUAUCUAGUAAAUCCUCCAGUUCUAGUUCCACCUCAAAAAGGGAAGCCCUUCAGAUUGUAUUUAUCUACCGAUGGAUCGGUUAUCGGUUCAGCUUUAGUUCAAGAAUUUGAAGGGAAAGAAAGGGUAAUUUAUUAUUUGAGUAGGAGGUUGAUUGAUGCUGAAACCAGGUAUUCGGCCAUUGAGAAACUAUGCUUAUGUUUAUAUUUUUCAUGUAUCAAGCUGAGACAUUACCUGUUAUCGGCCGAAUGCACUGUUGUUUGCAAAGAUGACGUGGUCCGAUACAUGCUAUCUAUGCCGAUUAUGAGUGGUAGGAUCGGUAAAUGGAUUUUAGCGCUGUCGGAGUUCGAUUUGCGUUACGAAUCGGCUAAGGCAGUCAAAGGGCAGAUUAUGGCCGAUUUUGUGACUCAGCAUUGCGGUAUAGUGGAAACCUUGGAAAUUGUACCCUGGACGCUCUUCUUUGAUGGAUCUACCUGUGACCGGGGGGCAGGAAUCGGCAUUGUAUUAGUUUCCCCUAAGGGGAGGAAGUAUGAGUUUUCCUUGCCGAUUGUUGCCACAUCAACAAAUAAUCAGGCUGAGUAUCAGGCUCUGAUCAAGGGAUUGGAGUUGUUAAGAGAAGUUCGUGCUGAUGCUGUUGAAAUAUUCGGGGAUUCUAUGUUGGUUAUAAAUCAAUUGGCCGGAAGCUAUGAAUGCUGAAGUGAAGUUCUCAUAACUUAUUUUGAGAGAAGUAUGCAACUGUUAAAGGAAUUCAAGGAUUUCCGAUUGGAGCAUGUUCCCCGAUUGCAUAAUGAAGACGCUAAUCGGUUAGCUCAGCAUGCCUCGGGAUAUCAGCCAAUGAUUAAUGCAAUAUCGGCAGUCGGUGCCGGUGAUUGGAGGAAAGAAAUUAUUGAUUAUCUAAAAGAUCCAUACAAAAAAGUUGAAAGACGGGUUCGAUUUCAAGCAACCAAGUAUGUGCUCCUUGAAAAUGAAUUGUAUUAUCGAACUAUCGACGGAAUUCUUCUCCGAUGCUUGGGUGAUGAUGAAGCUAGAAGUUUGAUGGGGAAAUCCAUGAAGGAGUGUGUGGAGCGCAUCAGUCAGCUUUUAAGAUGAAGUGGAUGAUUCGAAGGAAUGGAUAUUUUUGGCCAACCAUACUUGAGGAUUGUUUUAAAUAUUUCAAGGGAUGUCAAGGUUGUCAAAAGUUUGGUAAUAUCCAGAGAGCACCCGCAUCGGCUAUGAAUCCUAUAAUAAAGCCUUGGCCGUUCCGGGGAUGGGCCAUCGAUCUGAUCGGCCAGAUUUAUCCACCAUCUAGCAAAGGGCAUAAGUUCAUUCUAGUUGCCACUGAUUAUUUCACUAAGUGGGUUGAAGCUAUUCCUUUGAAGAAAGUCACAUCGGCCAAUAUGAUUGAUUUUGUGAAGGAGCAUAUUAUUUACCGAUUUGGGAUUCCCCAAACGAUUACUACCGAUCAGGGCACCAUGUUCACAUCGGGGGAGUUCGAUGAAUUCGCAAUCGGUAUGGGAAUUAAAGUGUUGAAUUCUUCUCCUUAUUAUGCUCAAGCCAAUGGGCAGGCCGAAGCAUCUAACAAAGGAAUUAUCAAGCUUAUUAAACGAAAGAUUGAAGAAAAUCCUAAGCGGUGGCAUACAUUAUUAAAUGAAGCAUUGUGGUCUUAUCGGAUGGCUUGUCAUGGAUUGACCAAAGUAUCACCCUAUCAAUUGGUGUAUGGACAUGAUGCGGUGUUGCCUUGGGAAAUUAAGGCUGAAUCUAGGCGAUUAUCUUUUCAAGAUCAAUUAACUGCCGAUGGUUAUGCCACUUUGAUGACCGAUGAAUUGGACGAUCUAGCAGGGCAUCGGUUAAAAGCUUUAAUGAGUAUAGAAGAAAAUAAGAAGAGAGUUGCUAGAUGGUAUGAUAAGAAAGUGAAGGCUAAAGAGUUUGCCGAUGGGGAUUUGGUAUGGAAAUUAAUUUUACCAAUUGGGACCAAAAGUUCGAAGUUUGGAAAGUGGUCUCCUAAUUGGGAGGGUCCUUAUCGGAUAAGUCGAUCGGCUCCUGGUAAUGCCUACAUUCUAGAAACCCUCGAAGGAAUUGAAUUUCCCAGAGCAUUGAACGGCAAAUAUUUAAAGAAGUACUACCCCAGUAUAUGGGUCGAUGCAUAGAAGUUUAGGUGCCGAUAACACUCCUAUCGGCUGGAUCCAAAUGUUUGGGGACAAGACUUGGUGUUUCAAAAGUUUAGGUGCCGAUAACAGUCCUAUCGGCUAGACUAAAAGCUGAGGAAGCAGGAAAGCGCAGAUAUAAUGCCGAUGGAAACUCUAUGUGUUAAGCAGCGUCUGGAUUGCCGAUAUAGCGCGUAGCCGAAUUUGGUUGGCUGCUUCUAUCUCCUUGAUGUCAUCAUCGGCAGAACCUUCUAUCGGCUUCAGCUUCUUCUUCAGUUGAAGUGCCUUGCGACCAUGAGCAUUUCGCUCGUGCUCAAGAAGCCUGAUGGUCUCUGGCAAUUGGCUCUCUUCCUGUUGGGCUUGGGACAGAGCGUUCUCUACUUCCUUGAGCUCCGCCAACAGGGAUUCUUUUCUUGCCGAUAGAUCGGAUAUCUUCUGCUUCAGCGCGUCUCCAGAAGAUCUCAGGAUACCGAUGUUCUUGUGCUUCUCAUCGGUCAAAAGCUUCUCUUUCCUCAUUUCAUCGGAGAGUUGAGUCUGAGCGGCUCUAUCGGCAAGACGCCGAGAAGCUCUCUGGUACUGCAGCUGGCGACUCUCCAGAUGAGCGGCUUGGAACAGGAUUUCUUCAACAUCGGCUGGGAUUUGGCCUCUGAGAGUUCUGAACAGGGUCUUGGUAGGGUCGGAAUCAUCAACCAAUUGCGCUGUGUCCUGGUGAAGGAGAGCUGACAAUUCUUCCAGCCUGACCCUGAUCUCUGCCGAUGUGAUGCCGACUGUCUGAGAAGAGCUUGCUUCUUCACCUUCUUCUUCAGAGAGAUCGAUGGCGAAGGAGAACAGGCUAUCGGGAGAAUCUUGUUCCUGGGAGGGAAAGCAAAAUUAGCUCAUAUUCAGAGAAUCGGCAAAUAGUGCUAACGGUAAACGGUGACUUACUUGCUUCAAGUCGAUCUCUUGUCUUUGACUGAGAAGUGCUGACGGAGCUGCAGGCUGAUCGGCCAAAGAUGCCGAUGGAACUACAGGUUGAUCGGCUGAGAUUGCCGAUGGAACGAUAUCAACUGAAAGAAGACAAAAGGAGUUACGAGACUAAAUGAGAAUAAGUUCAUCGGUAGCGAUAUUGUUAAAGUAUGUUACCUGGAGGAGGAACAACGGUUGUCUGAAUCGGGAGAACUGCCGAUGGUAUAACUGGACCCACCGGGCCAGUUGUUUGUUCACCCAUGUCAGCUGAUGUAUCUUCUGUUUGAGAUCCUUCCUGCUGGGGUUCUUCUAUCUGUGGUGCUUCCUGCAUAGGUGGGGGAGAUGGUGCUUGCUGUGGCUGGGCUUCUGGAGAAGAAGGAGAAGACUCCACCGGAAUUGGAGAUACCGGAGGAGGAGGGGGGGUUGCUACCUUCUGGCGCUUUGUUCCAGUCUUAGCACCCGUGGUGCCCUUUCUCUUUGGUUGGCUAGACUGGGGGGCAUCGGCACUCUCACGCCUGGCUUUCGCCGAUACGCCGGUUUGCUGCAAUAAUGAACAAGAGUUUAUAAGCAUAAAUAUAGCCGAUAUAAAGAUAGUCAGCAUAAAGGAAAAGAUUUGACAAAUUGCCUUGAAAGCCCGCGCCAGAGUGGGAGCAGCUACCGUUGGUGAUGUCUGGGUUCUUCUGGUGGUGACUUUCCUGAGGCGUACACCCCGAUGCACGAUCGAACCUAGAGUGGGAGCAUUGUGGCCGAUUGAGGAAGUCGGGCCUGAUGGAAACAAGUCGAUCGGCCUGCCACUCCUGCUAACCAAUGGAGGGAUAUUGUCAACCUGCAAAAGGAAUACAAGGGUAAGCUGCCGAUGGAAGUAAUAUUGAGAAAAUGAAACAUUGGUUUGAGUUACUUACAGUGUCAUCGGGAACUUCGUAUUCGGAGUCAAUCAUGCCGCGGUAUGAAAGUGCCGAUCUGCAGAAUAGAUGCUCUUUCCAUUCUGCCCACCAUAACUUGUAUGCCUGAGUGAUAAAAGCAGCCGGAACCCAUUCUGACAGAUCUACAUCUGUAUCGGUGCUUGGUGGUAGUUGGGCUACUCGAGUCCACUCAAGAAGGUUGUUGAUAGUUUCUCUGGGUUUUAUCACAUCGGGAUAAGGAAGUGCAAUCGGCAACUGGCCGAAAGCUAACUGGCGAGCUAAUGCCGAUGGAUUGUAAAAUUCGUAAGUCUGAGGGGAGGUUUUUGUGCUACCAAAGAAAUUCACUGGAAUGAUUCUGGGAGUCACAAUUGCCAUCAUCGCCUCAUUGUCCCUGUUGAGAGCUUCAUCAAAUGGAUUGAAGGUCAGAGGGAGCAUGCUAUCUGGGUCAUCAUAAGCCAACCAUGGUCGUUCGUCUCUGGCCAAACCCUCAUACAGAGUCUGGAAGAAUCGGCCGAUCUGAUCUGGAUUACCCCCUGAACCAGGCAGAACUAUGACAGCUUCGCCAAAGUUCAAGGGGGCGCGUGUUGCCGAUUCCUCUUCACCCAAUACAUGGUUUUCAGCUAUAUCUCUUGGGAAACGCUGUGUGAACAGGUUGAAGUUGAGACGCUUGUGCAGAUGCAGAUUGAGCCACAUGUUGACAAACCACCAGGGGCCUCCCAAGUUGCCAGUGGAUUGGCCGAGCAGAAGUUUCUGGGCUACUUGAUGGAGAAGGUGGUAAGCAGCGCCAAGCAAGUAUCGGCUGAGAGGGAAUCGGCCACCGUUAGCCAGUCUUUCUGCUGCCGAUAGGUAGACAGAAGUCGGUCCUGCCGAUCGACCACAGAAUACAAACUUGUCCAGCCACAUGUUCAGAAAGGUGGUUUGUUCCUUUAUGGUGACAGAUCCUUUCCCACGGUACUUCUGAAUGUACCCCGACCAACCGCCGAUAGCGCGAGUCUCCACUUUGGCACUAGGGGCAGUAUCAAAAAAGUGGGUGCUAUCGGCAGAAGAUAUAUCUAGACCAGUAAGCAUGGCUACAUCGGCAAGAGUAGGAGAAGCAGGGCCGUGGCCAAAGGCAAAAGCAUUGAGGGUGUCUGACCAAAAGUAGGAUGCAGCUAUCGGCAGUGACUCGUUCCUAUGCAUAUCGGCAAUGGACAAUCUAAUGCAUUGAGCUAGCUUCCUUUCACCCCACUGAACUUCAUUAGAGUUGCUGACCCUCAAGAACCAGUCUUUCCACCCUACAGUUGGGCUGGGCCAAGAGCGGAAGGUGUCUUUCCACAGAUCUAAGGAAAAAUUUUCGGCUCUGAAGGGGAUCCUGUUGGUUUCUGCGUUGAUAAGGUCAGUUGGAUCUAGGUCCCCUAGAGGGCCGAGGCAUUGAAGGUGUGGUUGAUCGGUGGGGAUGACAAUUUUGUUGGACAAUUCCUAGUGAUUUUGGGCGUAAAAAGAAAUACAAAGAGGAAAGAAAAGGAAGAUAUUCAGUAAAAUGAAUUGCGAGUGAACAGGGAUAUGAAGAAAAAUACAGAAGACGGGGUGGAGAUUUGACCUCAGGGACGACGAAACCGACGGCCAUCUUGCUGCGAAGGAAGCGUUUGAAGGCGCCGGAGUUGAUGAAGAGGGGUACUUGUCGGAGACCUUGGGAGUUUUUGGUGGCGCCGCCGCUGGAAAAGUAAAGUUGGGUAGUAGAAUGGUGUGAUGGGGAAGGAGUACCCAAGAAGGAACUAUUUAUAGGACAAAAUGGGCAAGGGCAAAUCCGACUUAUCUCUUUGCCGCAUCCGAGAAAUCCGAGGGUACUCAGGUGGAUAUGGUAACUGUUCGCACGGUAAUCCAGGGAUUGUGCAGGUGAUUUGACGGGAAGCGGUCAUUAUCUGAAGAUAUUUUACUGUGCGAGAUCUCCUGGUCGGUCCAUCGGCAGUAUUCUAUAACGGUCAUAUUGCCGAUGGGCGGAUAGAGGGGAAGUAACCGUUUGUGCGAAUAUCCUGGUCAGAACAUCGGCAGAUCUUUGUAACGGUAUUGUUGCCGAUGUACGGCUGAGAAAAAUGUCUGUUUAGGAAGUUGGGGAUUUCGAGGAAUCUGCGGAGGAAUAGGAUCAGAGUUGUUCAGAUUGAGGUUGUCGGUUAUCAGAUUAGGAGCAUUAAUUGCGGGAAAAGGCAUCAUUACUGCAGAGAAUUUCGGAGCAUUAAUAGUUUUAUACUCCGAAACUGGGGGGCAUGUGUUGACACCGUUUUUGGGCACGUGUCUAGGAUGGGAGGAUAAGGUGGCAGUACGAUGUUUACAAAGUGGGUUGCCGAUGAGGAUGGUUGCCGAUGAGGGAGAAGUUGAACGUGACUAAGUCCACAGGCAGUAAUAUUGUGCCGAUGGCUAGAUAAGAAAGUCUGCCGAUGACUAUGGCAAAGGGUCUGCCGAUGAUGCAAAGAGGGAGUCCGGAAGCUGCCGGUCGUUAUGUGGAGGAGUUUCGGUUUGUCACGAGGGAUAGUUUUGUUAUUUCCUUAAUUAUUUACAUCGUUUUGUAUACGGAUUCCGUGUAAUUUGGAAUUCGAAUUCUAAUCGUGUCUGGUUGUAGCUCUUUGAGCAGGGUAUAAAUAUAGACCCUAGGGCCUUGUAAUGAAAAAUCAAUCAAUCAAUCAAUCAAUCAAACACACGUUUUUACUCAUAUUCCAGCAUCUACUUUUCGACGACUUCGUCAUACUUUUUUCCUUUUGUUACGAGUUCUUAGGAAUUCGUCGACUUAAGCUCGGCGUGUUCUCAAGUUCCGCGUGAGUACCUCUUAGCCGUGACAUCCGGGCGCAUCGCUGUUGUCAGGACUAAAGUAUUCGAGUUAUCACCUUUGCCGAUAGCAAGGUCAAAUCGGCUGGCACGCCUUAACGUUUGAAUCGGGUAUUAGCCCUUUGUGUUUGCAGAUCAGUUUUGCAUCAACAGGAUCGUAUAGCGUUCAUCCAAGUAUAGAGUGGGUAAAUGAUAAGUAUUGUGUAGGCGUGGUGCCUAUACCGUAUUUAUCUACGAUUGUACCCUAUAUGCCAGAUCGCGGGGUAGUUCGUGGUAGUGACAGCUCCAUUGAUUCUUAUAUAGUCCCCCUCUCGUGUAUAGGGCUAGCAGAACAACAUUAUUACAGGGGAGUGAUUGCUAUGUUUCUCAUAUUCCUUGAUAAUAUCACUAUGCAUGGGCGUAGUCCUGUCUCGCAAUGAUUGCCAAGUAUAAUUGCACUAACUAUGAUAUGCUAGACUUUAUUGUUAAAAAUAACUUAGGAAGUAUUCUUGUAGUUCGUCCUAAUUCCAUGCUAAUGACUUGCUAGAAUAUCUAUUGAGGUGCUUAUCAUAUUUAUAUGUGGCUAAGUUAUGCUGAUCAGAUUAAUUAUCUUUGUCACCAUUCAUACUUUAUCUAUCCUUUAUGUGACAUUUAUCCCUGUAUGAAAGAGAUAGAUAAAUGCUCUCAAUUAUACAUGCAAUGAUAGAUACUCAAUGCUAUAUUCCAUUCCAUAGUCAACAUUGAUGUUUAGCAAUCCCUUCCCAGUGGUAAAAAUAUAAAUAACAAUACUGGGAAUUCUUUCCGAUUAAAAUGCUACAUCGGUAUUAAUUUGUGCGCUUGCAGAUCUCAUUUAUUAUUCAUUUAGAAGAGCAAUUACAUAUUUCAAUACCGCGUCUCUCAUGUCGUGUUGGGGAUGACAACUUGGCUUAAGUGGCAUGAGGGAUAGGUUUGGCAUUUUUGGCGCCGUUAUCAGAAUUAGAAAACUAAGUCUACUUUUGGUAAUGAAGUUAAGAAUGCCCAACGCCGUACUCAGGGUUCUAUAACCCCUAUUGUAGGUGCUGACUUAUGCUGCUAAUGGCAGUCAUGUCGGUGGGCGCGACAUGAUUUGUCCACCUCUUCUACCUUAGAAGCAUCACCUAAGUUGCUUCCACUACUCUACACACCUUUUAGAAAAUUAGUUAAGUUUUUACUUCAUCAUAUUUUGUAAAUUAAGUUAUAAAUCUUCUGCACUCCGAUGUAAGUUCUUUUCGUAACAAAUGUUGAUCCUGUAUGAGUGAAAAAAUGUGGAUGAUUCGGGGUCCUCUGAGGGCACCCAACAGACUAUCCGAGUUAUAUGACUCUCAUGUGCAGUAGUCAGAGGUCUUAAGGACAAUGACAGGUGCAUGUGGGCCAUAUAAUUAGGGUGGUUCUACCAUAGAGUGGUAUCGGAGCUCAUACAUGGAUCUUCUGCAACAUAACUUGUGAAAAGUUCAAAAGAAAUUUACAAAUUAAAAGUUUUUGAGGAUAACAACUUAUAAAUAUUCCUUAACUUUUCUUAUGCUUGCUGUCCAAGUUCUACGAAGACUUUCUGCUAACUCAAAUAGAAGGCAUUGAAAGAAGCUUCAAGUCUUCGGCAAGCCAAGUGAAGUAUCAGUCUACUCCAACAAUGCUUUAUCAACAGUCUUGCAGCCUUCCAUCUGAAGCAAUAAAGAUAAUGUAUAAAGUAUGCCCUAUAUAAGUAGUUACCUUCUAGCUAACUAUUGAUAUUUGGUAACGCAAUCAGGAAUUAAUCGGCAAGCACACGGAUAUCGGUGAGCACUUCACCCGGGAUGUUAUCUAGAGUAUCGUAUUUAUAUUUUUACCGCUAGGAGAAAGGGUGCAUCUGACUAACCAGGUCUAUUACUACUAACCUUUAGGAUACAACCACUAUGACUCGAUGUGAGUGAUGUAUAGAGAAGACUUCAACUGCACCCUCAUUCUAACCUUGGUAAGGAUGAUCUACUGUUCUAUUGGGGAGGCUCACGGAAUCUAGGCACCACAGAGAAUGUUCGACCCGCACCUAUAAACUCUAUCGAUCCUGCUAACGGGAUUAUGGGCUACAAUGGUAACUCGGAAAUGUCACGUUCCUUGCUACUACCACGGUCCGGCUAGACGGGGGAUUUCUAUGAGUAUCCUAGCCCAAACCCCACGUUUACGCUAGAGAUGAUUACUCUGAACUCUAUGCGAAGAGAUCAAAGUAAACUCAUAAACCAAAGAACAAUAAAACAAAGAACUUACUAGAAUUUAGAAGUCGAAAUACUGAAGAAUCCUAGGAGCAAGCCUCGGGUUAGGAGGCUUGAUCCCGCAGGUACAACCUCGGAGUAGACACUGAUAGGCUGGGCUUCCUCUGAUCUACACCUCCACUCUAUCUCUCUCAAUCUAGUAGAACUAAUUCUACUCUCACAUUAGAUGCUAAGCCCUAUGAGGUUGGAACCCUAAGGAACCUCUCUCUCUGAAACCUCUCUGGAAAUUAUGCUAAUGAAUAAUGGGGAUUCGAUUUCUCCAGGGGCCAGGGGCCUUGCUUAUAUUGCCCUCUCAAAUGAAUCUACGCCGUCGGAUCAAAUCGACCUUAAUUGAAUGGUUCUCCUUGAUCCUCAAAGGCGGUGGAGCAUAAUCCACGUGAUGCACCCUGAUUGGCCACCAUAGGUGGGCGGGCGCCCAGGGGGACUGGGCGAGCGCCCUGCCUGUGGGCCCGCUAGGCCUCCUGCUUGUUCGUGUGGCUUCUGGAACCUUCCAGUCCGAGGAAAAUUAGCGCACAAGUUAAUAUCUCUAUGUAAACCCGACGUGUGGGCCUUUCUUCCAUACUUCCUGAUAACCCCCUGCAGAAAUAGAUAAACAGCAAAACUCGUGGAAUUCUAUCAGAUCAAACCCUAAUUCUUGGCGUUGUUUGUAUAUUGGUCCUUUUCCUUAUUUAUUUCAUAGUUAAAAUUGAUACUUAAGAACCGUCAACACUAACAUUGUGAAGACGUAUAGGGCGAGCAUACAUCAUAUCAUUCACUUCAAAAUAAUGAUACAAGGAUGUUAUAGAUUCCCUUUUUAAUCCAGGACAACUAUUCUCCUUAUAGUUGUUCUAUUCAAUAAAUCCCGUCAUGUGCCAGGUUUCAUCCAAUUAAAUAUCCUUUUGACAAUCCUUGCUCCACAAAGUUCCCAUCCUUGGGGAUACUUCUGGAUUCAUAUAGAUAGAUCACCAACAUAAAUAUGAAGACCUGAGAUAACUCCUUGACUUCUCAAAUCAUACAUGUGUCACACCUUGAUUACUUCUACUCUGACACAUGUCCUCCUUUUAACUCUAAAUACCAACAAAGGUUGUUGAGAGCUAUUGUAAACGUACUCUAUAGUAGGUAACAUGAUCCGUGAUCACGUUAUAGCGUCGAACCUUGUAGUCUCCUGUGGAACCACGGCCAUAAGGAAAUACUACCAGGUGCUCGUUAAACAUUCGGAUCUCUGGUCAUGCUCCACUAUAGUCUACAGUUAGUGUGCUUUCAUUCUCCUUGGAAGCUCAUUUGGAGAACUAUAUCUUCUUAUGAAGUCUUUAAAAUUCCUGAUUAAUUACAACAUAAUGUUGAUGUUAGUUGUAAUUCUCGGACCAAUUGCAACUGUUUUAUGAGCUUCUCAGAAGUUAAUGUGCUUGACACAUUUCCUUUUCCAUUACACAACCCCACGGGUUUUAGUACCCUAGAAAUCUCAGGACGAGAUUUCUUUAAGGGCGAAGGGCUGUAACAUCCCUGAUGUUACGGAUACUAAAACUAGAUCAUAUCAUCAUAAGCAUUACAUAGCAUAGUUGUUAGGCACAUCAUGAUGUAUCAACUUAAAAUAAGUUUAUUUUGGUUGACUUUGCUUAGGAAAUUAAAGUGUGUUUAUUUUGUGAAGUGAUGCUUCUCAUGGUUGUUUAAUCCCUAGUUAAGGAUGUUGGUAAGGAAAUAAGGGAGAAAACCCUAAUUUUAAACCCUAGCUUCCCUUUAGCUUCGCCCAAAACCCAGCUACCUCUUGAGCUCCCCUGCGAGCGCUCUAACCCGCCGUAGCGCCUGCUUCACCCAUCUUUCUCAACUCCGGCAAAAAGCGCUGCCGAGGAGAACCUCACCGUGGUCAAGCCACUCUAGUGCAUCUCCGCAGCUGAGAGGCACCUUUACACAAUCCUGGUGAGUCACUAAUGCUCACAUGCAUAUCAUUUCAUGUUCAACCACCCUCUCCUGGCCAGUAUAGCGUCGAUGAAUGCUACCGUCCGCCAUGGACGGGGUCUAGGUGGUUUGGGAGAGGUAGAGCAUGGAUUGAGGACCUUAGCAUGUGCGCAGGGAAGUGGAGAACGAGUGUGCUUUAGCUCGGGGCAGGAAACUCGACGGAGCCACGGGGAAGCUCGGCCGAACCAUAUCCGCUCGUCCCGGUCGAAGGUUGAAGACGACCCUGACCAAGGGGCCCCGCACGUCAGCGACCAAUAGAGGGGGAGGGAGGAGCAGGACGCGCGCGUGGGCCAGCUGGCAGGCUGAACUGUUCGGCCAGCCUGUGGGCUGUCCGGCCUCGGCACAGGGGUGUUUUCUUUUUCCUUUAUGUUUGAAAAGGAUUUGUGUUUGAAUUUGUAUAGAAAAAUUUGUUUAGAUCAAAAAAUGAUGAAACUUUUUGUAUAGGUUCUGUGUAGUGAGUAGAGCAUAGGAAAAAUAUCAGAUGUCAUUUUCAGGUACUUUUAAGCAUUUAUAAAAAUUCUGUCCUGUAUUUAGUAAAUAGAAUUUCCAUGAUUUUUAUUAAUUUAUAUAUAUAUGUCUAAAAAUCACUAAAAUUUGUGAGGUGUCUCUGAGUAAUAUUUCCUGGCUUCACAAAAAGUUUGGUGGUAUUUGGAUAAUGUUUGAAUAAAAUAUUAAUAUACCAUUAAUUAGCAAUUAAGUAAUAAAUCUAAAAUAAUUAGAUAAUAAUUAGCUCAACUUCCAAAUUAUGAUUUGAGUGAUUUUGGGAUUGUGUGAUGACCUGAGCUCAACUAUAAUGACCUUUGGCAUUUAAUUAUUGUUUGAUAUUAAUACUUAAUUACUGUUAUUAAUGCUUAAUUAAAGAUUAAGUAAGAUAAAAGGGAUUAAUAAUUAGUUAAUUAAGAAUAACUACAAAUUAAGAAAGGUCUCAGCUUACUGUUGCAACCUCUUUGGUAAAAACACUAAAGUGGUAAACAACCUUUAAUCAUUGUUUAAACCUGCUUUUGCACUGAGAGAGAAAGUUGUACUCAACUAAAUCAUUAUUAUAUGUUAUCAUAAGCAUAUCAUAGCAUACAUCAUUUUACGUAUAGUGCACGUGACCGAAGGAGCAACCGUUGAACCAAACCCCGAGGUUGGUGUUCCGUUCGAGGAAGUUGGAACCAAGACUUGGGAAGUCUCUGAGGAACCCACUCACCUCUGCAACCAAGGCAAGCCCCCGAAUGCAUUCAACCUUUCCUUGAAUAUUUUAAAUCUUUCAUCAUUUAUGAAUCAAAAUGAUGCAUUACGUAGUCAAGAAUUGGGUUUAACCUAUUUGUUCCAUUUACUACCUUGAGAUUUGUUAUCCUGUCCUUGGCACUUGUUUAUUUUAAAAUUACGUAGUGAUGCUUAGCCCUGCUUAAUAGAUAGGUUUUCAAAUAAGAAAGUUUGAAGGGUUGUUGUGGAAAACUUUUAUUGUCAAUAAUAUUUCAACUUGAGACCGGUUCAGUGGAUUUGCUUUAAGAAUGGAGUCUUAAAGUAGUGUCUCCAACUUUGUCGAUUAAGGACUGGUCCGUUGAUGGCCUGCUGGGUUGAGAAUUUAUUGUACUAGUCACUUGCCCUCGGUAAGCCUGGUCUUGUGAUUCCUCGACGAGAACGGCUACUCGCGCACUGGGUGUGGAGCGAUGGCGAGAGUAGCGUGUACCCUCCUAGAAAAUGGGCUAGACGGUGGAGUACUGUGCUCUCGGGUGCCGCGAACCCGGUCAAAUCUUGGGAAAACUAGAUUUGGGUUGACAUAUGCAAGAUUCGGUUCUACAUAUGUCAGGUAGUUAGGAACUCCAGCUGGAUUGCUAAGCGGUUCGAAUCGUCGUUGCUCCCUGAUUGGGAGACUCAAUCCACUUACCCCCAUUGUAGUUAAAUAUGCAACUAAGUUAUGAAAUGGGGAAAAAGAAAAUGUCUCAUGGAGUUCGCAUCCCAAUUCCCGGACUCAGAGUGACGUGAAGCUAUGGCCGUCGGAUGAAUAACACUUUUGUUAAGGACUAGAAAUUCACAGACUUGUCUGUGAAAAGCAACUAGAUAGACUGUCCUCGAAUUCCUCGGCCUCUCGAGGUGACCGAUUCGAGGCUAAAACUUGAAAGUAAGGAUGCACUAUUAGUAUGAUUUUAUGCAAAACAACUUGGUUCCUUGCUCAGCCACUCCUUGUCUACCCUAAGCCUGCAUUCCUAAGUUCUCUUUUUCCGUCGGGUAAGUCUUGUUGAGUAUUCCCGUACUCAGGGUUCUAUAACCCCUGUUGCAGGUGCUGACUUAUGUUGCUAAUGGAAGUCAUGUCGGUGGGCGCGACAUGAUUUGUCCACCUCUUCUACCUUAGAAGCUUCACCUAAGUUGCUUCCGCUACUCUACACACCUUUUGGAAAUUUAGUUAAGUUUGUACUUCAUCAUAUUUUGUAAAUUAAGUUAUAAAUCUUCCACACUCCGAUGUAAGUUCUUUUUGUAACAAAUGUUGUAAUGUUGUGGUAACUCCAUGUUGAUCAUGUAUGAGUAAAAAAUGUGGAUUGUGCGGUUUUAUUAUGAGAAAAAUAAUUCCAAGUGAUGGAGCAUAUUUUGAUCGUGCGGGCGAUUUAGCAAGUGAUAAAUUUAGAGCGCUGACAGACAUAGUAGGUCUAAAUCUGAAGCGAAAUGACAUGUAAACAUUGUAUGGUUGUGCGGAUAACAAUGACGUGUAUAUAUGUAAUUUUAUGGUUGAUAUUUGAUUUCAUGUUUACAUAUCUACUUUAUAUAUGUAUAUAUAUAUGUGACAGACAUAGCACUGUAGUGUGGUGGGAAAAAAUAAAUUUAAAAUAUAUAUAUAAACUUAUUUACACCAGCGGUACAAUGUGAGCCGCCUGUGAAAAAUAGGUUUUCUCACGCGGCUCACAUAGUUAGCCGCCUGUGUAAACAUACAUUUCCACAGGCGGAUUACUAAGUGAACCGCCUGUGAAAACCUAAUUUUCAUAGAUGGCUCACUCUCGACCCUGUGUACUAUGGUCGAUUUGUACUGACCCCUGAUACGGGCGGUGGGCUUGGCCGCCUGUGCAAGUCGAUUUGUACUGACCCCUGAUAGAGGCGGUGGGCUUGGCCGCCUAUGUAAAUGCUUCUACCACCGCCUGUACAAAUGUUUUGUGUACCAGUGCGAAAUUUGACAUUUCCUAGGCUUUGGAGGGACCAGUGGGCGGUUUGCAUGGCCUAUUGUAUCCUAUUUACAAUGUGUUUUAGUCUUGUUCUUCUAUAAAAAGCACUCUAGACAUGUACCACAAAUACUAUAACAAAUGGCUACAUGUCCAAUUGCAAAUCAUACGUAGUAUUUUAAGAAUUUUAUAUACGACACGGGUUACCACAGAUAGAUGCAGCUUCUACAUAUUUAUAUAGUAAAAGUUUUACAUGUCGUAAAAUGCGCGUUUUGUAAUAGAACAAUUUUCUGAUUGGAUUUUACAAAUAUAUUUUCCAACCGACAAUAAUAUGGAGAAAAGGCUCGAAAGACCGUGGCGUCCCAGUCCGAGACGAUCAAGUGGGUUUUGAAGGUAUUGGAGUAGCUCAGAAGGUGGCGGAGGCUCGCGGCGGCGUGGACAAAUACGAGCGAGUGUCCGUCCAGAACUGAGCGCUCUUGACCUUGGAGAUGCUGUUGAGGACGCCUAGCGGUGUUACAUCUCCCACCACCGUCACCUUCUUCGUCGCGAUGUCGAUGUCAAAAGAAGUAACCCCUGGAUUGGAUGCAUGCAUGCUCGUAUGUGUUAGUUAUCGAAACUCAACUGGAGGUGAAGGGAUAAGAUGAGUGAAAAGUUCACCUUCCAUCUUGGAGAUGUGCUUCUUCACCUUGCCAGCACACCCCUUGCAGUGUAGAGAUACCCUCAAAACCACCACCUGUAUGUUGGCAAUUACAAGUUCAUGCAUGCAUCGAUCAAUAUCAUCAUCGAUGAAGCAGGGCGUAACGUUCUCACCUGGUUCUGGCCUGUUCUCGUGGAACAUGAUCUCACCACGACAGUGUUGUCACCGGCAACGACAUGGCCUCUUCCUAUUUCUGACGAUGACGAGGAGGACCCUGCACCUGAUGCAGACGGCUCGGCGAAUAAUUCCACUGGCGGCGCCAGGAGCUGAGGCCUCGAUGGACCAGCCGGCAUCACGGCAUCGCCGUGGCUGGUUGGGAAUAUUUCGAUGUCGUCGUCGGCGUCCUUAAUGAAGGAGGGCCGCGGGGACGGAAGUGGCGGCAAGGAGUCGACGACGGUGAUUUCGUCGUCGGACUGCAUCAUGAGCCUGGAGGAGUUGAGCAGGAACCUGGACGAGCUCGCGGGGCUCACCUGCUGGAGCUGCACCUCCUUCUUCUUGUUUUUCCUAUGCUCUGACGACGGCGUCGUCGACGAGCAACCCCUGCCACUACCAGCGUCUGCUUCUGUGCUCUUCUUCUUCCUUCUGUCUUUGCCAUCGUCGUCGUAGUGGCAAAGCUGCUGCUGCUUCAUGGAGGUGGAGGAAUCUUUGGCACUACUGAAAGGAGAGCAGGGUGGCUUGGGCAGGGAUGGCGGAAGACGCCGGUGAGAGUCACGAAGGCGCGGAGAGUGGCGGUCGAUGGCGCGGCCAGUGGAGGCGACGACGGAGGUGGACGCCGCGGAGGAGCAGGACAGGCCAGAGAGGCCUAGCAGCCUCUCCUUCACGUACCUGUCCUUCCAACGCAACAAGGAAGCCAUGCAUCAACGAACCAGCAAGGAUCAGAGAGUGUCUAGCUAGCUGACUUGAGUUCUUCUUGGCUCUGGCGCUCUGCUAUGCUUGCUCUCCCUGUUUUGGGCUGGUGCCUUGCCUUCGUACGUGGACGCGCGUGGUGGGUGGUGGAUGGUGCACGCAUCUGAUUCUUCUCACUCAUUUCUGCUUCCUCGAUCUUAUAUAACAAAUGAGUGAACACGUACAGCAGCGGAACUGGAGGCUUUGUGUUGUGUGCUAUUGGACGAUCCCACAUCACGGCGGGCAGAUCUUUGCAUCAUUUUUGUAAUAUUAUGCUAUAUAUAAUAAUGCACGGAUAUGUUCAAUCGAGCUCUGUGCGUGGUUCAUAUUUAAUUUUGUUGUAUAAUAUAGCUAACAGUUUCGUUGCUACGUGCGUACGUACAUAGAUCAUGACAAAAUUGGCCGAUCGGUCAGAUGCUAGUAGACGCAUCAUUUUUGCUGCUUCUUAUUUUUCUGGUCCCUCCCAGUUCAGCUUUGGACACACAAUCAAGAUGACAGGAGUGUAUAAUAGUUGCAGACUGCAAAAUCAAACAUAUCUGUGGUGACCAACCAAGCCAAGUGCCCAAAUCAAUUGUACUUGCACCAGUAAGGAAGCAAGCAAGCAAUUUGUUCUGCAACUAGUCCUCAGCUACGAGAUGUCAAAUGAGACAAAUGCUGAUCAAGGUGAGCUACUCGAUCUGAACUUGCUCACUUGUCACUACUGUGGUGCAGUAUGUAUAAUUGGACCUCCGGAUGUCGCCAUCAGAUAUGGAGAGAAGAAGAACAAAACGGAAAGACAGGCAGGCAUCUGGACGAAGCAGCACCACCCAUCCCAUGCAUCCUUUCUUCCUUUCUCGAUCGAAUCGAAUAAAGUUGUCGCUGCUUUUUCCCCACUUCGCUCCUCCAUGUCAAAGAAUUGGUCUGCAGUCAGCUGGGGAGAGUUUAAUUUAUACUAAUAACAAAGUGCAAGCAUUAGGUGAGCACUUUGUUGACACCGGUUCAUCAUCUACUGUGAACUAGCACUCAACGUCCCUUCUUACCGCCGUUGGAUUAAUUCAUUCCCACUGACUCAACUAAGGGCACUCAGAAUGUAUACUCUAUCAUAGAGUCUAAAGUUAGUUAUUACCUCGAACAAUGUGGACUUAGAGUCUAAAUAAGAUUUGAAGUCUUAUUUUUUCUACCUUUCCUUCAAUAAAUAUGGUGCCACAUCAGCAAAAUACUAUAAAAAUAUGUAAUUAAUUGUCUUGAACUCUGUGAUAGAGUCUUACAUUGUGAGUGCCCUAAUACCAAUGUUUCAUUACAUAUAUAUACAUAUUACUCCUAGUUGUUUCAUUACAUAUCCUAGUCAUCAGGUCGAUCGUGCAUUCACAUGGCUUCGACAAUCCUUGUUUUUUUUUUGUGAAAUUUAUAGUCAUUAUCAUUGAACUGAAAAUACAUGAAACUAGACAAGUAUGGUAACAUUAUUACCGCAGUGUGGAUUGAUGAGAGCAUUUGGUAUGUCUCAUCCACUAUACUGUUAUUUGGGCUUCCCUUGUUCCAGUUUCAAAAAAGAACAAUAUUCGCGCAAAAAGAAUAUAUGGGGACUUAAAAAAUUCACACUAUUCUAAUUCCCGGCCACUUGUUCUCACCUUUUCAUUCGCACUUUAUUAUUAGUUUGCGGGUCUGCUUCCAAUGUGUAAACAAUGAUUUAAGUCUUUGUAACUCGGGCCCACCAGAUGUAUGGCUAGCCGGUUAUUCGUAGUUUAUUUAUGGAUUUAUUAACAACGUGAUGGUGGCUAAAGAUCGAUGCGUAUGUGAUCUGGCUUGCUAGCUUGAUCAAUCAUUUCUUUAUUAUGAUUAUCCAGGAUUCUAAGUGCACCCGUGAUGAUUAAGGUAUAUGAUGAUCACUGCCACGCUUGCCUUGGGUUGGUGCUCCGUUCCUGUCGUCAUAGCAUACCUGCUGCUGAAUUCUUAGCAAACGGAGGGGAAAAAAAGAGGCUUCCCCGUUCCUUUUUUAGUUGCGUCCUAACACUAGCUAGCUGCUGGUCAAUUCCUAUCGUCAGAAAACAAACUCCGUUGCACGGCAGAGUUGUAGCAACUGCUAUACGUGCAUAAGAGAUAGGAGAUUGGCUGAUCGUUUGCACAAUUUUAACAAAAUAUCAUCACAAUCCUUUUUCUUCGCUUGCAGGAUAGUCAUCAGCGCGGUAACAGGACAGAACAAAUUAAAACAAGCAGGUGUGUACUCCCUCCGUACAUAUAAAGAAGUCAUUUUGGAAAAGAUUUAGAUUAAAUACUGGGAAUAUAAAUCAUGAAUAACUUUUAAGUUGUUUGAAAAUAUGAAAACCAUAUAAAUAGAUUUAUCUUGAAAAAUACUUUCAUAAAGUAUACAUAUACCAUAUUUUGAUAAAUAUUUUUAUAAAAAAUAAAGAAUCAAAGUUAAGCUUUGGAGAUUGUGUCGUUGUCCUAAACGACUUUCUUUAUGUGUAUGGAAGAAGUAUCUGUUUAGUUGUAUAUACCGUACUAUAUAUAUACUACUGCUUCAUAAUCUAACAUAAUAGAGUGGAGCUAGUAUAGUGCUAAGAAAUCUAGUACUAGCAGAAAACAUGGCAAAUAGCUAGGACCAUGUCUGUCGCCAUCUUGCUUAAAACUUGCAUGAAUACGCUAUCUAAGCACUAAUGGCUACUGGAUUGCAGGAGCUGAUUGAGGCACGCAGCGGCGGAAGACGGCACAAUCGAAAAAAAUACCGCACUAACAGUUCAGUAAUUCAGUGGAAAGGGUGGCCGCAGUUGACUGCCGCCCCCCAAACACUACUACACAAAAUAUUUUUACAGACGGUGCUAAAGGCAUCUUCACAGGCGGUCAAACCCACCGCCUGUACCAGGGGUCAGUAUAAAAUGGACCACAGUACAGGCGGGCCUAUGUCAGCCGCCUGUGAAAAUUAGGUUUUCACAGGCGGCGCACCUAGCCAGCCACCUGUGUAAAUGAAUUUUUACACAAGCGGCUGACAAUGUGAGCCGCCUGUAUAAAUGUAAUUUAUACAGACGGCUCACACUACACCGCCUGUGUAAAUAAUUUUUUAUAUAUAUUUCAAAUUUAAAUUUUUCCCACCAAACACAGUGCUAAACACCUUAUAUAUAUAUAUAUAUAUAUAUAUAUAUAUAUAUAUAUAUAUAUAUAUAUAUAUAUAUAUAUACACACAUCAUACAUACACCACAUAUAUAUAUUAUAGAAUUGUAAACAUGAAAUCAAACAUCAACCAUAAAAUUACAUAUAUAUACGUCAAUUAAUGCAUGUUAUCCGCACAACCAUACAGUGUUUACAUGUCAUUUCGCUUCAGAUUUAUACCUGCUAUGUCUGUCAGCACUCUAAAUUUAUCACUUGCUAAAUCGCCCUCAUGAUCAAAAUAUGCACCGUCACUUGGAAUUAUUUGUCUCAUUAUAAAACCACACAAGUCUGCUACUAUAUCUUCCAGCGUCUUUGGUGUAAAGGGCACGUCCUUUCCUUGCUUUUUUGGCUGGAAACAAAGUUUAAAAGCAUGAUUGACACAUGUUCAAUAUAUAAUUUUGCAACUUUAAUGAGAAAACUUCAUACAUAUAUAUUAUUUACCAUAUUUUUGUCCCUGACGUAACGUCCCCGCUACCUUAUAAACUCACAGACAUAGUACCCACAAUAGACCGAUCCAGGUGGUUGCUUGUGGCACUAUAUGAUGAGCAACGGAUUAUUCUAAAUUUGCCAUGCUUUAUGUAUUAUUUAUAUGAUGAAAUGUGUUUGGACAACUUACCGGAUAGUGGUGUUGUAUCAUCAAUGGCACCCUAGGAUCUGAGCGUGCGGCGUCGACUGGUCCGUUUUGUUUCUUAUAAAACCGCCAUGCCCUGUAGAUAUCGAAUAUAAAUCACUAAAGUUAUUUUGAAACUCCAAUUUAUAUAAGUACGCAUGUGGUUUCAUAUGUUGGCUCACCUUUCUAAUUGAACCAAGAAUGGUUGAUACUUCUGGGGAGGAACAUGUAAAGAAUCUAGGACAAGCACCUUCCCUUCGAAGGGACAAAUAUAAAAAACAAUCCAAUGGUCACUGCAUGAAUAAAUGAGUGAGCGACACAUGUAUAUUGUUUGCACGAUAAUUAUUUGAAGUACGUAUAUGAAGUUAAGCUUACCUAAAGUUGUAAGGUGCCAAUAUAAAAUCCCUAUACUUAUACCUCAGCAUUGAUCUACCAAGAUAGAGGGCAUAAUUAUCCUCGUAUUUUCUUUGCAACUCUUUUAUAGCUUCUUCAACUUCUUCUGGUGUUUUGUCCUUCUCUAUCUUUGCUCUAUCGUCCUUUGAUAGUACAAAUUUGUGCAUAUUUUCUUGUAACUUGAUAGGGCUCAGACAACCGACCAUCGAUCCGGUAGAUAAUAAUGACCUCUGCUCGUGAUCUUGCAAACUACAGACAACAUCUACAUAUUAGAGUUUCACACUACAUAUUAAUAAUAAUUGUGUGUGCAUGAGUGAUACUUACAGACACCAGAUUGUUAUGAGUUGGACGUCAAGCCGCCUAUAGUUCAAUAACAAGUGCAUGUCCUCAAAGGUAACAAAUACCUUGCUCUUUUCGUUACCAGUAGCAAACACGUCUGCUGGUAUAUCAACUCUGGUUGCAUGGAGGCCAGCAUGCACUGCUCAUGUACCAGUCAUGAAAUAUUUUUAUCGGCCAUUGAAUCUUAUCAAGCAUCGUCCAUUGGAGCAUAGGCCUUCCGGGCACAUAGUCAUUGGGGACAUUGACAUAAUCAUCAAUCGUUGGCUUUCUGAUAUCCGUUAGGGUCAAUGGUUGACUUGAUAGCUGUUUGACAUGUACAUCGCCACUUGGGGCUUCCUUUGAUGGGGGCAUGGCUUCUAUUGACUGGGCGGUGGCUUCCUUUUUCUGUGACGGUUCGAGCUCAAUAAGCCGUGCUGUCCGCUGCUUUCCAAGUCCUUUAAGAAAGAGAGUUGUGUCUCCUGCUUUCCCCUUUUUUGGCUCAAAGGGAGAAAUCAAUUUUGGAAUUGGAAAUUUCUUCACCUACUUAGACGCCGGUGCUGCUGGGGGAGUUUGGUCAUCUUCCUUCUGCUUUGGAGGUGGUGGGGGAGUUUGCUCAUCCUCCUUCUCCUUUGGAGGUGGUGGGGGAGUUUGCUUAUUCUCCUUGGAUGGCGGAGUCUGCUGCUCAGGCAUGUUCUCCCUGGCUGGCACCUCGGGCUCAUUCUGCAAGAAUGCCAUCUCAUGUAUUGGAGAGGAUGGUGGUGGCUCAUAAAUGUACGGGGAUGCUGGAGCAUGCAUUGGUGAUGGUGGUUGUUGAUAUGUUUCGGCCUCUUGGGAUGGUUGAGGCACUAUGCUUGGAGAGGGUGGCGCUGGUGGAUCAAUCAACCUUAUGUACCGUCUCGGCCAUUGUAUGAAGUUAUUGAUUGCUUGUCCAAGCUUCUCUAUACCAUCAGACGUCGGGAUGUCUAUGAAGUCGUCUUCAUAUCCGGCCUCGACCGUCAACACUUCCACCCUACAGUAUGCAUCUUGCAUGUCAACAGUAUGGAAUGUACGUCCUGGGAUAGCAUUACCGGUGGCCACUUGCUUAGUAUGUUGAUUCUUAAGGCCAUAGGAUAUGACCAAGGAGCAAGGCCAAGGUCUAUCAAUAUCAUCAACUGGAUAAUGGUCCUUAUUUGUUGUUGACGCUAUACUGCUUGGAAAGGGCUUAGAUUGUGAGGCCAUCUCCUGACGCUCCAAGGGUUGAGCUGGUACAAGCUGCAUAUGCGAAGGAGCUUGUGAGGACAUUUGUUGAGCAGACACUCCUCCUGCCAACCGCUUCAUCACUUCAGGAUCAGGAUUUGUAAAGAAGUCUUCCAUCAUAUCCCUAAACUUUUUUGCAGCCUGCUGCUCAAAAAAAUCUUUCAUUUCCUCCUUAUGUCGGUCUCUUUUCUUAUACAUGCCUUUCCACUCAUCACCGAAUCCUUCUUUCCAACUAAUUCCGGAGGAGAAUCCCCGUACACGUCCUGGAUGCUCGGGGUUACCUAGAGCAUGGGUAAGGAUGUCCCUCUCCCUCUGUGACUUGAAGGCACCUUUCUUUUCUAGGUUUGAUGCUUCCAAAACCUUGUCGGCAACUUCUCUAAUCUCAUCGGGACAUGACAUCUCAUCGCUCUCAGUGUUUGCCUUCCGAGCACGAAGCCAAUUCGCACUCCUUUCAGGCACUAUAUCGGUCAAUGCCAAAUGGCCCUCUAUCCUCUUUGCAUCGUCUUCUGCCCUCCAAUUAGGAAUCUUGGUCUUAUAACCACCAGUGCCAAGGUGGUGGUGAUACUUGUUCCUCUUCGCGAGUCCAGAGGCGGCUUUGCUCUUAGCCUUCGCAUCGUCUGAUUCUCUCAUCAAACGAAAACGUGCCCACUGAGCCUCUGUGAUAGGGUACCGCUUCGUCGGGUCCCGUCCCUUCUGCAACCACUUUUUGUUCAUAUCGUGCCUAUAGCCCCGGAAUGAUAUUGCCAACUGCUUCAUGACAUAACCCUUGGCCAAUUCAUCUGUACCAUCGGGAAAAAUAAAUUGAGUGCACAAGCGAUUCUAGCAAGUGGUCCUUUUCUCUUGUGGCACCAUACUCCAAUCACUCCAACUGAUAUCAAAUUCCUCUUUUACUAAAUAUCCAAUUGCGGCCCUAAAUUUGGGUAGCGCCUCUAGAGGUGCUAAGGGCUCUCCGCUCAGACUUAACACUAUAAUCUGGUAAACUUCUUCUGGAAAUCUAUUCCUUCCUCUGUCUCCUCGUGCCCGAUCACUCUUUUUUGUUUUACUUCUUGGCUCAGAGGAUGUUCCAGUCGUUUGAGGCGCCAUGUCCUUCUGAACAUCUUGUUCUUCUGCCUCCAUUUCGGCAACAACUUGAGAUAACACCUCCUGUCCAUUCAAUUAUUAGGUAUAUACAUAUAUACACAUGUAUUCUAUUGUAUAGAUACUACUACAAUAUAUACCUCAUCAUCAUCCGGAUCAGCUUGAGGCUCGUAUGUCGGGUCAUGUUCCAACUCUAGACGAGCCUUCUUAGCUCUGGGGGAUUCACGUGGUGAUACGCUCGGGCUUAUAUAAGUGUCGGAUCCAGAGGUGUCGGAUCCCGGUAUUUCUAUCUGGGCUUCAGCAUUCGAUGGAGUACUCAUCUAAUUAAACAAAUAAUUUAUAAACAAUUAACUUACAAACUCUAAUUAACAAACCCUACUUAACAAAUUAAUUAAUUCAUCAAUAAUUAACAAUUAAUUAACUAGCUAACCCUAAUUUAAUAAUCAAUAAUUAGUAACAAAUAAAUAACCCUAAUUAAUUAACUAACAAACCCUAAUAAUUAAUUAACAAUCAAUAAUUAACAAAUAAAUAAUUUACAAAACAAACCCUAAUAAUUAAUUAACAACCAAUAAUUAACAAAUAAAUAAUUAACUAACAAACCCUAAUAAUUAAUUAACAAUCAAUAAUUAACAAAUAAAUAAUUUAUAAAACAAACCCUAAUAAUUAAUUAAUUAACAAUCAAUAAUUAACAAAUAAAUAAUUUACAAAACAAACCCUAAUAAUUAAUUAACAACCAAUAAUUAACAAAUAAAUAAUUAACUAACAAAACCUAAUAAUUAAUUAACGAUCAAUAAUUAACAAAUAAAUAAUUUACAAAAACUAAAAAAAAGGCAGCAAGGGCGGCCUGUCAGGCCCAACAGGGCCCCACAAGCUGCCUGGUUGCCGCCGGCGUUGGGAGGGGCGGCGGCGCGCACGGCUGCCGCCGCCACACCUCGGCUUACCUCAACGGCGGCGCGGAGGUCGUCGAUGGCGGCGCGGAGGUCCUCGGUGGCGGCGCGGACGUCCUCGAUGGCGACGCGGAGCUCCUCGGUGGCGGCGGCGGCAGUGGCGUCGGCGGCGCACGGCUCUCCUCGGUGGCGGCGGCGCACGGGCUCUCCUCGGCGGCGUAGUGGCUCGCGGCGGGGGCGCGGAGGCAGGGCAGGAGCUUGGACGGUCGCGGCGCGGGCUCCGGCGAGAGAUGGGUAGCGCGGCGGUGGAUUUCGGCAGCCUAACGGCGUCGGUUUCGUCAACCUCGCGCCACCGGGACUUGAAAAAUUUAGCGACCCGCGCUCAGGGUAUAUAUAGGUUUGGAUUAGUACAGGCAGACAUCAUCGACGUCCGCCUGUACUAAUCAUUUCUACAUGCGAACGUCAAGAAGAUCCGCCUAUACUAAUAUAUUAGUACAGGCGGCUGCUUUGAGGGCCGCCUGUACAGGCGGCUGACUUUGAGGGCCGCCUAUACUAAAAAUUAAAUAAACUAUAAUAAAUUGUGCAAAUAUUAUAAAAUACAAAAGGAGUACUUUGUUAAUUAAUUUAUUUAGUGAUUAAUGGUUUGUUAAUUAUGUUGUUUCAAAAAUUAAAUAAACUGUAAUAAAUUGUGCAAAUAUUAUAAAAUAGAAAAGGAGUGCUUUGUUAAUUAAUUUACUUAGUAAUUAAUGGUUUGUUAAUUAUGUUGUUUCAAAAAUUAAAUAAACUGUAAUAAAUUGUACAAAUAUUAUAAAAUACAAAAGGAGUGCUUUGUUAAUUAAUUUACUUAGUGAUUAAUGGUUUGUUAAUUAUGUUGUUUCAAAAAAUAAAUAAACUGUAAUAAAUUGUACAAAUAUUAUAAAAUACAAAAGGAGUGCUUUGUUAAUUAAUUUACUUAGUGAUUAAUGGUUUGUUAAUUAUGUUGUUUCAAAAAUUAAAUAAACCGUAAUAAAUUGUGCAAAUAUUAUAAAAUAGCAUAAGGUAUAAAACAAAUGGAAAAUGUAAACAUGUUGCUUAAUAAGAAAUAGUAGCAUAAGGUACAAAUAAUAAGUGAUACAUGAGUUACAUGAGUAAUGAUAACUUAUAGAAUCUAGCGUGCUACAGUCCUUCCUUGUCCAUCGUGGCGCACCCAUGGCAAUGAGGAUUGUGGGAUACUUUUCUCAACAUUUUUUAUGUUUUCUUGAAAGUUUGUAAAAAGAGACAUCUCGCUGAAUUGGUUAACAUCCUCCAAAUCCAUUACACCAUCAACUCCUAUAAUUUGUUGCUUUCCUAGAAUAACUAUAUGCUUUGGCUUGUGGCUAUUUUUCUUUUCAUCCUUAGAAAAGAUUUAUUCCACAUAGAAGACUUGUGCGGCACGGUUAGCAAGGAUCCACGGAUCAUCUUUAUAACCUACUUUACUUAGGUCAAGAACUCUCUGGCCAUAGUUAUCCAUAGUGACAUGUUUAUCUUGAACCCAUCGACAUCGGAACACUGGAAUCUGCAGGAGUGGACCAUAUUCUACCUCCCAUAUGUCAUCAAUGAACCCAAAGUAUGUAGUUGUUUCACCAGUUGCAUCAUUUAUAGCCUCGCAUCGAACGCCACUAUUCUGUCCCAUGCUCUUGGUGUCCCUAUAGCUGGUGGAAUAUGAAAAGCCACUAAUGUCAUAGCUCUGCCAUGAUGUGACCUUGCUUGAUGGUCCAGAUGCUAACAUCUUAAUGGUUUCUGAUUCCUCUGUCACGUCCAAAUCCUUUAACCAUGUGGUGAGCUGACGCUUGUGUUCCUUGUGUACCCAAUCAUUUGUGCAUCCUGGAUUCUUCUCACGAAGCUCUUUCAUGUGCUGCUCAAUGAAUGGGUCCAUUAUUAUGAGUUGUUGUAGUAUGAUAUAAUGUGCCUCUAGGACUAUGUUGUAAUUGUAACAUCCCUGAUGUUACGGUGACUAAAACUGGAUCAUGUCAUCAUGAGCAUUGCAUUGCAUAUUUGUUAAGCACAUUAUUAUGCAUCAAAUUAAAACAAGUUUAUUUUGAAUGCUUGUGCUUAGGAAAGUAAAGAGUGCUUAUGUUGUGAAGUGAUGCUUGUGUUGGUUGUUUAAUCCCUAGGGUGGUAGAUUUUCGAGAAAAUGGGAGGAAAACCCUGAUUUUAAAACCCUAGAUUUGCCCCCUUUUGUGUAAUUUAAAAACUAAGCAAAAUUUGAAGUUGAGUUCAAAAGCAAAAUUGUAGAUUUUGUCAAGAUGUACAACUUUGGUGUUUUGAGUUUUUGAAGUUUCAAUACAAAAUUCAAAGUAAUUUUGAAAAUACAGAUUUCGAGAAAGUGUCCCCUUUUCCAAUUUGAAUCUCCAAUUCAAAAUCCAUUUGGAAUUUUGAAAAGUGACCAACAUGAAAGUUGUAGAGCUCAAAACGUUGAACAACUUUCAUGUUGGGUGUUUUUCAAGUUGCUAUGGAAAAUCAAAAGUAAUUUUGGAAAUUCUGAUCUGCCCCAAUUCAAAAAUUCGAAUUUCCAUGAAUUGAGUUUUGAAUUUCAAAAAUUCGAAUUUCCAUGAAUUGAGUUUUGAAUCACCAAUUUCCACUCAGAUUUAGCUUUGGUCACCAAAAGGAGUUUUGUAGCUUGUAAAGUUCUGCACAACUUUCAUUUUGGUGGAAUUUUGUCUUCAGUUCAAAAUUUGGGCGAAUUUUGCAAAACCACAAAACUGGUUGGAUAGAGCUCGCUACAGUGCUCGAUCAGGGGGAUGCUCUGCCGCCGGGGCAGAGCCGCUGCGUCCAGCGCCGCCACGCGCCUGGCCACGCAGCUGCUUGUUGGGUGGGCCUCGCUCGGACGUCCUCCUCUGCAUCACGCACUCCGUCGCGUGGAUAAAGCCCCGGGUGGCCGUGGUAUUUCCUUUCUUCUCUUUGAACCUCACCGUCGACAGCCACCAAUCGACGCCGAAAUUCACCGUCGCCUUAGCUCCUCCAUCCCCGAGCUCUUGCUCUCAACUCCGCCAAGAACCCAGCAAUCGAUUGCGCCCCUGAGCGCAAGCGCUAACCCCUCCUCGCCCGCAACCGAGCUGUUUCCCUUCGAUUCCGGCCGAAGUCGCCGCCGUGGGUGCCUCACCGCGGCCAGCUCUUCUCCAAGCUUCUCCACUGCCACUCUGUGUUUCGUUGAAGUCGCGGUGAGCCCCUGAAGCUUAUGCGCUGGUUGGUUCGCGUUCUACCCGCUUGUAGUGGCCGGUGCUCGCGCCGUUAGUCUCACCGUCCGCCAUGGAUGCGGGCAGGAGAGUAGGAGGGAGUAGCACGUGCUUUGAACGCCUUGGUGGGUGCGCAUGGAGUUGGGGAAGCUAGCCCACCCUACCGCGGAGGCCGAGGGCUCACCGGCGCUGAGCCUGAGCUCACCGGAGUGGUGGCGGGAGGAAGAAGAAACUUCUAACGGGCGGGACCCGCCCGUCAGUGGCCGCGUGAGGAGGGCAGCGCCCGCACGCGACGCGGGAAGCUCUCGGGCCGACUUGGGCCAUGACCAAGUGGGCCGGCCGCGUAGCACAGUGCGCUUUUUUCCUUUUCCUUUUUGUUUAAAAAUGCUUGAUUUGUAGAAUUGUGUAGAAAAUUGUAUACUAAUUCAAAAAUCAUGGAAAUUUUUGUAUAGAUUCCAUAAAAUGGAUAGAACAUAGGAAAAAUGUUAGGUGCUAUUUUCUAGUAGUUUGCAUGUGUAUAAAAAUUGCCUCUUUUAAUUAGUAAAUAAAACUUCUAUGAAUUUUAAUAAUUUAUUGAUAUGUCCAAAAAUCACCAAAAUUUGUGGGAUGCCUUUGAAUAUUAUUCCCUGGCUUCACCCAAAAUUUGGUGGCAUUUGGAUAAAGUUUUAAUAAAAUAUUUUUAAACCCUUAAUUAGUAAUUAAUUAAUAAUUCUAGAAUAAUUAGAUAAUAAUUAGUUAAAUUCUCAAAAUUAGGGUUUGAGUGAUUUUGGGAUUGUGUGAUGACCUGAGGUCAUUAACCAUAAUGACCUUUGGCAUUUAAUUAUUGUUUGGCAUUAAUACUUAAUUACUGUCAUUAAUACUUAAUUAAGAAUUUAUUAAUAAUUAGUUAAUUUAGGCUAAUUAUGAAUUAAGAGGAAUCUUAGUUUACAAAUGCAACCUCUUGGGUAAAGACACUAAGAUGAUAAACAACUUUAAUUAUUGAUUAGUCUGUGUUGCACCGAGAAGGCCCGUUGUACUUAACUCGGUCCUUCUCAAAUAUUUGUCAUAUGCAUAUCAUAAGCAUUCAUCAUUUUGCGUAUAGUGCACGUGACCGAAGGAGCGACCGUUGAACCGAACCCCGAGGUCGGUGCUCCGUUUGAAGAAGUAGGAUCCGAGACUUGGGAAGUCUCCGAGGAACCCUCUCAGCUCUGCAACCAAGGCAAGCCCCGGGUGCAUUAACCCCUCCUUGAAUGUUUUAAAUCUUUUAUCACUUAUGAAUUGAAAAUGCUGCAUUAGGUAGUUGAGAAUUGGGUUAACCUACUUGCUGCAUUUACUACCUUAAUAUUUGUUAUCUUGUCCUUGGCAUCUGUUUUAUUUUAAAAUCGCGUAGUGAUGCUUAGCCCUGCUACUAGAUAGGUUUUCAAACAACAAAGUUUGAAGGGUUGUUGUGGAAUACACUUAUGAUCAAUGAUGUUUCAAUUUGAGACCGGUCGGUGGACUUGCUUUAAGAAUGGAGUCUUAAAGUAGUGUCUCCAACUAUGUCGGUUAAGGACCGGUCCGUUGGUGGCCUGAUGGGUUGAGAACUUAUAGUACUAGCCACUUGCCCUCGGUAAGCCUGGUCUUGUGAUCCCUCAACGCGAACAGCUACUCUCGCACUGGGUGUGGAGCGAUGGCGAGAGUAGUGUGUACCCACCUUACAGAUCUGAGAUGACCGGAAAACAUCUAGAUCGACUGUAGGAUGGUGGAGUACUGUGCUCUCGGGUGUCGCGAACCUAGUAAAAUUUGGGGAGAGCUUGAUUUGGGUUGACAUAUGCAAGAUUUGGUUCUACAUAUGUCGGGUGGUUAGGAACUCCAGUUGGAUUGCUAAGCGGUUCGAAUCGUCGUUGCUCCCCGAUUGGGAGACUCAAUCCACUGACCCUCAUCGUAGUUAAAUAUGCAACUAAGUGAUAAAAAGAAAAAGGGGGAAAUGUCUCAUGAGGUUCAGAUCCCAAUUCCCGAACUCAGAGUGACAUGAAGCUAUGGCCGUUGGAUAGAUAAUACUUUGAUUAAGGACUAGGAACUCACAGACUUGUCUGUGAGAGGCAACUAGAUAGACUGUCCUCGAACUCCUCGACCUCUUAAGGAGAGGAAUUCACGGGUAAAACUUGAAAGUAAGGAUGCACUAUUAGUAAGCUUUUUAGCAAAACACUUUGGCUCCUUGCUCAGCCACUCCUUGUCUACCCUAAGCCUGCAUUCCUACUUUCUCCUCUUUUUCCGCCGGGUAAGUCUUGUUGAGUACUCCCAUACUCAGGGUUUUAUAACCCCUGUUGCAGGUAAAGCUCAGGAGCCGACAUGUUUCGGACCCUGUUGUGUGUCCAUCUUUGAGGUUGACGACGAGGAAGAGUGAGUGUGACCCAUGGGCAGGGUCUGUAAAUUUGUAAUUUGUGUACUAAAGUUUAAGUUGGUCCACUAGACCUGGCUUGUAAUAACACUCUACUAUUUGGAAGAACUACUUUUGUAAAUUAAGUUAUGUAAUACUUCCGCUGUUUUACUCUGAAAUAUUAUUUUGGUCUUGUGUCGUUUGUGAUACUGCAAUGUCUUCGCAACGAGUGAUCCUGGUGUUAAGGUGGCCACUUGCUAUCCUGUAAGGGAGAGAAGAAGAAGUUCUCGUUAAUUGACCAUCGCUAGUGGUCAGGACGAGUUCGCUUGAUACUCCACAAGUAGCGGUGGAAUGAGCGUCAUGAGAUGCUCAUCGGACUUCUAGAGUGGGAGGAUCCUCGGCAUCACCGUCAGAGGUCCUUUGGACAAUGACAGGUGUCGGUGGGCCCAAACACUUAAGAGGUUCUGCCACAGCUCGUAUCAGAGCAUUCGUUGCUAAGAUGACUGCUGUAUCCUUUGAAAAACUUCAAAACCAUUUGGAUCUAAUACUAUAAACAUGCCUAUUUUGAGUCUAAGUGCUUUAGUCCUAUCUUACCCCUGUCUGUAGGCUUUGUUAGAACUUUUGAAAUGGUGUGGAGGAGCAACAUAAAGUAUUGCCCUUUGUUGUAAAGUUUUUAAGUAAUAUUGUUACGAAUUUCUAGUACGAAUCGUAAGUCCAUGCAUUCAUCAUGCUAUGUCACUUGGUUAAGUUCCUUCCUCCUUGUUUGGGUUGGGUGUAUAGAAUCAAUCCCAUUCUUGCUAACCUUUAAGGUCUCCCUUACUAAUCCAAACUUACCCUCUACAGGAUGGCUCGUUGGAAGCAGACCCCGCGUAAGAGGACUGGUCCUAAAGGGGUCCAUAGACACCAGUUGGCCCCGCAAAGCGAUCAAGCAAGCAGUAGCCGUUCACCCUCGCAACAAGAGGUGGAAAGGUUGUCCGCCGAGCUAACCGAAGUGACGAGAGAAAGGAUGUACAAUGUCAUGGAGAUCGGUGAACAUAAAGCUCAACUAACAAAACAAAAACAAACCACCGAGAACUGCGAGGCCAUGCUGUCCCGUAUGGUGGAAGAGAGGAACGUCGCUAUUGCCCGAGAAGAGGAGGCCAGGAGCGCACACAGGCACGAGCUGACCAGGAUGAAGGCGAAGCUGGACAAAACCAAGUACCUUAAAGAUCUAUACGUGAAGAUGGUGGCCACUGUCACCGCGCAGAGGUAUGUCGCGUGGCAGCGGGAGGACCAGCUAUAGCUAGAGAAGCUUGAGCUGGCACAUCAUUUAGACACCGUCAACAACUUGGCAAUGCAAUACCGUGAUAUUGCAUUCGACCUAUAUCAUCAGCUCCAUCCACCUCCAGGUGAAGGGGAGAUGGAUACGGACGGAGAGUUGGCGGAUGCUAGGGAACCCGACCAAGACCUCAGUGACGAGGAGGAAUCUGACUCCGGUGAUGAUAACCCGGGGGGUAAUCAGGACGAUGGCAAUGAUGACCCGGGCUACAGCUCUGGCCACACCGACUAGUUCGGUGAAGUCGCGGGCAACGUCGUUGUAGGAUUCCUAGUCUACCGUAGUGGGGUCGGGUCUAUAGUAUAGAGUUUUCUUUCAGUUUAAGAAGUGUACUCGUUUGUUUCCAGUGUGUUGAACUAAUGUUUAAUAAAUAAAUGGAAGUAUGUAAGAUAUGUUCAAAGUUAUGAAUUUCAUGUGGUAACAAGUACAUAUGAUUCUUGUAGCAGAUGCCGAUGCGUACUCGUGGAUCUGAUGGAGCCGGUUCCUCUUAGGGAGGGGAUGACAUCCCCAACCCUCCACCUGCUCCACCUUCCCUGGCUGAUGCCAUUGCUGUUCUUUUGAGUGCCACCACCGACAACGCACGCUUGUUGCGCGAGUUACCACAACGCCAACCACACCCCGCCCCAAACUUCAGAGCACAGCACAAUGGGGAGGGAGAAACUCGGUACGUGGACUUUACCAAGACAAGGCCCCCGGUAUUCACCAAGGCUGAUGAGCUGUUAGAGGCUGAUGACUGGCUCCAAACAAUGGAGCACAAGUUCAGUCUGAUCCGAUGUUCGGAAACUCAGAAGCCCCUGUUCGCAGCUCAACAGCUUCGGGGAGCUGCGGGUGCCUGGUGGGAGAACUUCCUAGCUAUCAAGGGUCCAGGACACCAGGUCACCUAGACAGAAUUUAAGGACGCGUUCCGCGCCCACUAUAUCCCCGAAGGGCUUAUGGCCAUGAAGGCCGAAGAAUUUCUCGCCUUGCAGCAAGGCGAUAAGAGUGUCAUGGAAUACGUGGCAAAAUUUAAUCAUCUUUCUCAAUAUGACACAGACCAUGUGAACACGGACAGAAAGAAGAAAGCAUGAUUCAUGCGUGGUCUCAAUACCAAACUUCAGACCAUGAUGACCACCUGUCAAAAUGCUACGUUCUACAAGGCGGUAAACAUUGCCAUCGCCUCAGAAGAAAAGAAUAGAAAGCACAAAGAAGCCAAGAAGAAGGCUGCUUCUUCCUCCUUCUCUGGUCGCGGUCAAAAGCGCCAGAGAAUCAUUUAUCAUCCACAGGGCCACGGACGCUUUCAAGCGCCGUCACCUUUUCGUGGUCCCUUUUCUCCUCCACAAUAUAGACCAGGUCAGCAGGUAUAUCCUCGACCUACUGCCAUCGCCACUGCACCACGCCAGCCGAAUGCCCCAGGUGUUCGUCCCACUGCUCUGCCCAACCACAAUUAUCCUUGUUUCAAUUGUGGUAAGCCUGGGCAUUUUUCUAAAGAAUGCCCCUACCCCCGCCAAAUUAACCCCACUUUCCAAAGGCCACCCAUUGGCCAACCCCAGCCGAGCCAAUUCAGGACUGGGGCUCAGAAAGGACAAAAUGUGCAAAGGGGUAAACUCGUAAAGAACGUGGGACAAGUUUUCCAUAUAGAGGUGGAGACGAUACCGGAAGGAGAACCGGUAAUGAUGGGUACGUUUCCUGUUGCGAACCAUCCUGCCUUAAUGCUUUUUGAUUCUGGUGCAUCUCAUACAUUUAUCAACCGCACCUUUGUGAUAAAGCAUGGCAUACCCGUUGGGGAAACAAAAGAUCAUUUUUAUAUAUAGUCGCCUGGAGGACGGCUGAGUUCUAAAGAAAUGGUUCACCAGAUACCCAUCGAACUUGGUGGGCAUAGCUUUCCCACUAGCAUGAUUGUUCUUAAAGACCAGGAGAUUGAUGUCAUACUAGGCAUGAACUGGAUGGCACAACGAGGGGUUGUGCUAGAUACCAUGCAUCGAACCAUUAAAAUCCCAUUGCCCAAUGAGAAUUCUUACCUUCUAAUCCAGUUAGCUACUCCCAAAUGGGCAAUUGGGUAGGUUCAUGCCACUAAUGUGGCUGCAGUCAAAAAUAUCCCAGUGGUUCGGGAUUUUCCGGACGUAUUUCCUGAAGACCUACCAGGUCUGCCACCGGACCGAGAUGUCCAGUUCAGCAUAGAAUUGAAACCAGGGACGGCCCCAAUAUCUCGAAGGGCCUACUGAAUGGCACCGAAAGAAAUGGCCGAAUUAAAAACCCAACUACAAGAGUUGUUGCAAAAAGGUUUUAUUCAGCCCAGUUCCUCUCCAUGGGGUUGCCCAGCCUUAUUUGUGAAAAAGAAAGAUCAAACAUUAAGGCUGUGUGUCGAUUAUCGUCCCCUGAAUGAGGUGACGAUUAAGAACAAGUACCCAUUGCCCCGUAUUGACUUGCUAUUUGACCAGUUGGCCGGGGCUAAAGUAUUCUCAAAGAUUGAUUUGAGAUCAGGGUACCAUCAAAUCAAAAUCAGGCCGGAGGAUGUACGCAAAACGGCUUUUACAACCCGUUAUGGGCUGUAUGAAUACUUGGUGAUGUCUUUUGGGUUGACCAAUGCACCGGCCCAUUUCAUGUACUUGAUGAACUCUGUCUUCAUGCCAGAGCUGGACAAAUUUGUGGUCGUCUUCAUUGAUGACAUUUUGAUCUAUUCCAAAACUAAGAAAGAACAUGCUGAAUAUCUGAGAAUUGUGCUGACCCGUCUCAGGGAGCAUCAACUAUAUGCCAAGUUCAGCAAAUGUGAGUUCUGGCUAGACAAAGUCCAUUUCCUGGGUCAUGUAUUAUCAGCGGAGGGAGUCGCUGUAGACCCAGGUAAAGUAGAAGAUGUGUUGAAUUGGAAGCCCCCGACUACGGUACAUGAGGUCCGUAGUUUUCUGGGUAUGGCGGGAUAUUACCGUCGCUUUAUCCCGGACUUUUCAAGAGUCGCCAAACCAAUCACGACCUUGCUCAAGAAUCAAACAAAAUUUGUUUGGUCACCUCAAUGUGAGCAAGGCUUUCAGACUCUGAAAUGGUUAUUGACAACUGCACCUGUCUUAGCCCAGCCAGAUAUUGAAAAACCCUUUGAUGUGUAUUGUGACGCAUCAGGAAUAGGGAUAGGCUGUGUGCUAAUGCAGGAGGGUCGCGUAAUUGCAUAUGCUUCCAGGCAGCUUAAACCACAUGGAGAGAAUUACCCGACCCAUGAUCUUGAACUAGCCGCUGUAGUACAUGCAUUAAAGAUCUGGCGCCAUUAUCUGUUGGGGAAUACUUGUCACUUAUACACAGAUCACAAUAGCUUGAAGUACAUCUUCACUCAAGCUGAACUUAAUAUGCGCCAGCGAAGGUGGCUAGAAUGGAUCAAAGAUUACGACCUUGAGGUGCAUUAUCACCCUGGCAAAGCGAAUGUAGUAGCUGAUGCCCUCAGUCGUAAGGCUCACUGUAAUUGUUUAACAGUGACGCCUAAAGAUAUAACUUUGUGCCAAGAGCUAGAGAACUUGGAGAUAGAAAUGAUUUCCCAAGGAAGCCUUGCCAAUCUAAAGAUUGAUUUCAAUCUCGAAGCUCAAAUCAUAGAGGUACAAAAGGAAGACAAAGGUCUGAAAUACCUUAAAGAGAAAAUUUCUAAUAGAGCACCCAUAGACUUUAAGGUGGAUAAUGCAGGAGUAAUCUGGUUCAAAAACCGGUUAGUGGUUCCAAAGGUACCUGAGCUACGUCAGCAAAUCCUGGAUGAAGCUCAUACUACAAGAUAUUCUAUUCAUCCGGGGAGCAAUAAAAUGUAUCAGGACCUGAAGCAAAGGUUUUGGUGGACGAAAAUGAAAAUAGAAAUAGCUCGCUAUGUGGCCGAAUGCGAUACCUGCCGAAAAGUCAAAGCUAUUCAUCUCAAAUCUGCUGGAGAGUUGCAACCCUUGCCUAUUCCAGCAUGGAAAUGGGAUGAUAUUAGUAUGGAUUUCAUGGUAGGAUUGCCCAAGACGGCCAAAGGCUUUGAUUCUAUUUGGGUCAUUGUGGAUCGUCUCACCAAAACAGCACACUUCUUACCUGUAAAGAAAUCGUAUUAUACCUCCACCUAUGCUAAGAUUUAUUUUGAUCGUAUACUAAGUCUGCAUGGGGUGCCAAAGACAAUAGUGUCAGAUAGAGGCACACAAUUUGUCUCCCAGUUCUGGAAAUGCUUACAUGAAUCUUUGGGCACCAAGCUUUUAUACAGUACAGCCUACCACCCUCAAACAGGUGGGCAAACAGAGAGGGUAAAUCAGACCCUAGAAGAUCUAUUAAGAUCUUGUGCCCUGAAUUUUCCAGAUAAGUGGGAUGACUGCUUGCCUCUAGCAGAGUUUUCCUACAACAAUAGCUACCAAGAAAGUAUUAAGAUGGCUCCCUUUGGGGCACUAUAUGGCCGACGAUGUCGAAGUCCACUACAUUGGUCGGAACCUGGAGAAAGGUGGUUCUUUGGGGUUGACUUAGUAAAAGAGACUGAGAACAAAGUUAGACAAAUCCAAAAUAACUUGAAAGUUGCUCAGUCCCGACAGAAAAGCUAUGCCGAUAAAAGACGUCGACCCUUAAGAUUCGCCAAAGGUGACCAUGUGUAUUUAAAGGUAUCCCCAAUGAAAUGAGUAAAUCGUUUUGGCGUUAAAUGCAAAUUAGCACCUCAUUACAUUGGUCCAUUUCCAAUUCUUGACCGAUGUGGACAGGUAGCUUACCGCAUUAAACUGCCCGAACGAUUAUCCGGGAUACACAAUGUAUUCCAUGUAUCUCAACUGAAAAAGUGUCUUCGGGUACCAAACCAGGUUCAAGAUAUUGAAGAUGUGGAACUUGAACCAGAUCUGACUUAUGCUGAAUAUCCUAUCCGAGUAUUGGACCAAAGAGAUAGAGUUACUCGAAGAACAACUACCAAGUGGUACAAGGUGCAAUGGAGCCAGCACUCUGAAGAGGAAGCCACAUGGGAAUCUGAAGAUUAUAUAAUGGAGAAUUUUCCUGAGUUCCCCGCUUCUCUUCGAGACAACAUCUGAUAAAUAGGAAGUGUACUCUAGUGAAGGAAAAGAGUAGCCAAAGCCAUGUACUUAGUGUACAUAUUUGUUUAUAUUUGAGUAGCCUUCCCCAGCUUCUUGUCUUAUGAAAAGGUUGAAGAUGAAAUAGUUGACAAAUUUCCUUUUCCAUUACAUACCCUAAGGCUUUAAAUCUCGGGGACGAGAUUUCUUUAAGGGGGAAGGGCUGUAACAUCCCUGAUGUUACGGUUAUUCAAACUGGAUCAUGUCAUCAUGAGCAUUGCAUUGCAUAUUUGUUAAGCACAUUAUUAUGCAUCAAAUUAAAACAAGUUAAUUUUGAAUGCUUGUGCUUAGGAAAGUAAAGAGUGCUUAUGUUGUGAAGUGAUGCUUGUGUUGGUUGUUUAAUCCCUAGGGUGGUAGAUUUCCGAGAAAAAUGGGAGGAAAACCCUGAUUUUAAAACCCUUGAUUUGCCCCCUUUUGUGUAAUUUAAAAACUAGGCAAAAUUUGAAGUUGAGUUCAAAAGCAAAGUUGUAGAUUUUGUCAAGAUGUACAACUUUGGUGUUUUGAGUUUUUGAAGUUUCAAUACAAAAUUCAAAGUAAUUUUGAAAAUACAGAUUUCCAGAAAGUGUCCCCUUUUCCAAUUUGAAUCUCCAAUUCAAAAUCUAUUUGGAAUUUUGAAAAGUGACCAACAUGAAAGUUGUAGAGCUCAAAAUGUUGAACAACUUUCAUGUUAGGAGUUUUUCAAGUUGUUAUGGAAAAUCAAAAGUAAUUUUGGAAAUUCUGAUCUGCCCCAAUUCAAAAAUUUGAAUUUCCUUGAAUUGAGUUUUGAAUUUCAAACUGUUUUGUUAAAAUCACCAAUUUCCACUCAGAUUUAGCUUUGGUCACCAAAAGGAGUUUUGUAGCUUGUAAAGUUCUGCACAACUUUCAUUUUGGUGGAAUUUUGUCUUCAGUUCAAAAUUUGGGCGAAUUUUGCAAAACCACAAAACUGGUUGGAUAGAGCUUGCUACAGUGCUUGAGCAGGGGGGGAUGCUCUGCCGCCGGGGCAGAGCCGCUGCGUCCAGCGCCGCCACGCGCCUGGCCACGCAGCUGCUUGCUGGCUGGGCCUCGCUCGGACGUCCUCAUCCGCAUCACGCACUCCGUCGCGUGGAUAAAGCCCCGGGUGGCCGUGGUAUUUCCUUUCUUCUCUUUGAACCUCACCGUCGACAGCCACCAAUCGACGCCGAAAUUCACCGUCGCCUUAGCUCCUCCAUCCCCGAGCUCUUGCUCUCAACUCCGCCAAGAACCCAGCAAUCGAUUGCGCCCCUGAGCGCAAGCGCUAACCCCUCCUAGCCCGCAACCGAGCUGUUUCCCUCCGAUUCCAGCCGAAGUCACCGCCGUGGGUGCCUCACCGCGGCCAGCUCUUCUCCACCGCCGCUCUGUGUUUCGUUGAAGUCGCGGUGAGCCCCUGAAGCUUAUGCGCUGGUUGGUUCGCGUUCUACCCGCUUGCAGUGGCCGGUGCUCGCGCCGUUAGUCUCACCGUCCGCCAUGGACGCGGGCAGGAGAGUAGGAGGGAGUAGCACGUGCUUUGAACGCCUUAGUGGGUGCGCGUGGAGGCCGAGGGCUCACCGGCGCUGAGCCUGAGCUCACCGGAGUGGUGGCGGGAGGAAGAAGAAACUUCUGACGGGCGGGACCCGCCCGUCAGUGGCCGCGUGAGGAGGGCAGCGCCCGCACGCGACGCGGGAAGCUCUCGGGCCGACUUGGGCCGUGACCAAGUGGGCCGGCCGCGUAGCAUAGUGCGCUUUUUUCCUUUUCCUUUUUGUUUGAAAAUGCUUGAUUUGUAGAAUUGUGUAGAAAAUUGUAUACUAAUUCAAAAAUCAUGGAAAUUUUUGUAUAGAUUCCAUAAAAUGGAUAGAACAUAGGAAAAAUGUUAGGUGCUAUUUUCUAGUAGUUUGCAUGUGUAUAAAAAUUGCCUCUUUUAAUUAGUAAAUAAAACUUCUAUGAAUUUUAAUAAUUUAUUAAUAUGUCCAAAAAUCACCAAAAUUUGUGGGAUGCCUCUGAAAAUUAUUCCCUGGUUUCACCCAAAAUUUGGUAGCAUUUGGAUAACGUUUUAAUAAAAUAUUAUUAAACCCUUAGUUAGUAAUUAAAUAAUAAUUGUAGAAUAAUUAGAUAAUUAUUAGUUAAAUUCUCAAAAUUAGGGUUUGAGUGAUUUUGGGAUUGUGUGAUUUCCUGUGGUCAUUAACCUUAAUGACCUUUGGCAUUUAAUUAUUGUUUGGCAUUAAUGCUUAAUUACUGUCAUUAAUACUUAAUUAAGAAUUUAUUAAUAAUUAGUUAAUUUAGGAUAAUUAUGAAUUAAGAGAAAUCUUAGUUUACAAAUGCAACCUCUUGGGUAAAGACACUAAGAUGAUAAACAACUUUAAUUAUUGAUUAGUCUGUAUUGCACCGAGAAGGCCCGUUAUACUUAACUCGGUCCUUCUCAAAUAUUUGUCAUAUGCAUAUCAUGAGCAUUCAUCAUUUUGCGUAUAGUGCACGUGACCGAAGGAGCGACCGUUGAACCGAACCCCGAGGUCGGUGCUCCGUUCGAAGAAGUAGGAUCCAAGACUUGGGAAGUCUCCGAGGAACCCUCUCAGCUCUGCAACCAAGGCAAGCCCCGGAUGCAUUAACCCCUCCUUGAAUGUUUUAAAUCUUUUAUCACUUAUGAAUUGAAAAUGCUGCAUUAGGUAGUUGAGAAUUGGGUUAACCUACUUGUUGCAUUUACUACCUUGAUAUUUGUUAUCUUGUCCUUGGCACCUGUUUUAUUUUAAAAUCGCGUAGUGAUGCUUAGCCCUGCUACUAGAUAGGUUUUCAAACAAGAAAGUUUGAAGGGUUGUUGUGGAAUACACUUAUGAUCAAUGAUGUUUCAAUUUGAGACCGGUCGGUGGACUUGCUUUAAGAAUGGAGUCUUAAAGUAGUGUCUCCAACUGUGUCGGUUAAGGACCGGUCCGUUGGUGGCCUGAUGGGUUGAGAAUUUAUAGUACUAGCCACUUGCCCUCGGUAAGCCCGGUCUUGUGAUCCCUCGACGCGAACAGCUACUCGCGCACUAGGCGUGGAGCGAUGGCGAGAGUAGUGUGUACCCACCUUACGGAUCUGAGAUGACCGGAAAACAUCUAGAUCGGCUGUAGGAUGGUUGAGUACUGUGCUCUCGGGUGCCGCGAACCUAGUCAAAUUUGGGGAGAGCUUGAUUUGGGUUGACAUAUGCAAGAUUUGGUUCUACAUAUGUCGGGUGGUCAGGAACUCCAGCUGGAUUGCUAAGCGGUUCGAAUCGUCGUUGCUCCCCGAUUGGGAGACUCAAUCCACUGACCCUCAUCGUAGUUAAAUAUGCAACUAAGUGAUAAAAAGAAAAAGGGGAAAUGUCUCAUGAGGUUCGGAUCCCAAUUCCCGGACUCAGAGUGACAUGAAGCUAUGGCUGUUGGAUAGAUAAUACUUUGAUUAAGGACUAGGAACUCACAGACUUGUCUGUGAGAGGCAACUAGAUAGACUGUCCUCGAACUCCUCGACCUCUUAAGGAGAGGAAUUCGCGGGUAAAACUUGAAAGUAAGGAUGCACUAUUAGUAAGCUUUUUAGCAAAACACUUUGGUUCCUUGCUCAGCCACUCCUUGUCUACCCUAAGCCUGCAUUCCUACUUUCUCCUCUUUUUCCGCCGGGUAAGUCUUGUUGAGUACUCCCGUACUUAGGGUUUUAUAACCCCUGUUGCAGGUGAAGCUCAGGAGCCGACAUGUUUCGGACCCUGUUGUGUGUCCGUCGUCGAGGUUGACGACGAGGAAGAGUCAGCGUGACCCAUGGGUAGGGUCUGUAAAUUUGUAAUUGGUGUACUAAAGUUUAAGUUGCUCCGCUGGACCUGGCUUGUAAUAACACUCUACUAUUUGGAAGAACUACUUUUGUAAAUUAAGUUAUGUAAUACUUCCGCUGUUCUACUCUGAAAUAUUAUUUUGGUCUUGUGUCGUUUGUGAUACUGCAAUGUCUUCGCAACGAGUGAUCCUGGUGUUAAGGUGGCCACUUGCUAUCCUGUAAGGGAGAGAAGAAGAAGAAGUUCUCGUUAAUUGACCAUCGCUAGUGGUCAGGACGUGUUCGCUUGAUACUCCACAGGUAGCGAUGGAAUGAGCGUCCUGAGAUGCUCAUCGGACUUCUAGAGUGGGAGGAUCCCCGGCAUCACCGUCAGAGGUCCUUUGGACAAUGACAGGUGUCGGUGGGCCCAAACACUUAAGAGGUUCUGCCACAGUAAUCUGGUGGGAUGAAUGAUUUCCGUCCCAUUCUCCCGCGUCCAUCAAACCUUCCCUCAUGUCGUAAUGGAGGCAAACCAAUUGAUACCUGGUCUUUUAUAGGAGAUUAUUACAUAAUGGUCCUCCAGACUCAAUGGCCUCUUCUGUUGUGUACGCCUCUAUCAUGGAACCCUCCGGAUGAGCACGAUUUGACAUAUAGCCAUUCAAUAUUGACAUGAAACGCUCAUACAUCCACAUUUCAUGGAAAUACAUGGGACCUAAUGCCUCUAUUUGAGGUACCAAAUGAACAACAAGGUGUACCAUUAUAUCAAAGAACGAUGGGGGAAAGCACAUCUCCAACUGGCUCAAUGUCUCUGCAGCAAAUUUUUGUAGGGACUCUGACUCAUCACGGACAAUUACCUUCUCAGAUAUCUUAUUAAAGAAGUAGCACAAUCUUUAAUAACACUGGAUUUAUAGCCCUGAUGGCGAUAGGAAGAAAAGUGGUCAGCAUGACAUGACAAUCAUGUGAGUUGUAGUUGGUGAAUGUAAGGUCUUUCAUUGACACAAGACUUCUUAUGUUGGAGCAAAAACUAGAUGGAACUUUUAAAUUCUUCAACCACACACACAUUGCAUGUUUCUCCUCUCUGUUCAGGUUGUAGCUUGCUGCCCGUAGGUGGUACUUCCCAUUCUCUAGGAGUACAGGGUGAAGUUCUUUUCUGAUCUUUAAAUGUUGCAUGUCCAAACGUGAAUUGAGACCUUCCUUUGUCUUGCUCUUUAUGUCUAACAAGGUUCCAAUUACACUUUCAAACACAUUCUUCUGAACAUGCAUACCCUCGAUCGCAUGUCGUACGUCCAAGUCUUUCCAGUACGAUAAGUACUUGAAGAAAAUGGACUUCUUCUUGAAUGUGUCCCCUUCAUUUGCCUUGACAACCUUUCUUGGUUUCCCAUCUUUGGUCUUCUUUCCAAAAACAAACUUCACAUUCUCAACUAUCUUGUACACUCUAUGCCCUUUACUACAACCUGAUGGAGCAGUAGAUUUUGAUUCAUCAAUAUUGUUGAAGUACUUAUUCAUCUUUUGUAAGCGGUACUUAUGGCCUGCCGGUAGCCAUCUUCUUUGCCUCAUGUACACUAUCUUGUUAGAUACAGGAAGAGACACGUGCCAUGUUCCAUCUAUGCACUCUACACAACCAACCUUUCCCUUGAACUGGCCUGAUAAUGAGAAGAGAGCAGGGUAAUCAUUAAUUGUGACAAUAAUAAUUGCUCUCAAUGUGAAUGUCUCUUUGCGGAACGCAUCGAUCAUGUCCACACCUACUUCCCAUAGUGUUUGCAUGUCUUGCAUUAAGGGCUCUAGAAAUACAUCCAUAUCAACUCCAGGUUGUGUAGGUCCAGAAAUAAAAAUGGUUAGCAAAAGAUAUUUUCUCUUUUGACACAACCAUGAAGGAAGGUUGUAUAUUGUCAGGAUCACCGGCCAUGUGCUGUGCGUGCUGCUCCUUUCGCCAAAUGGAUUCAUUCCAUCAGUACUCAGUGCAAAACCUUACAUUCUAUGGAUCAUCAGCAAAGUCUGGAUAUUUCUUAUCAAAAUGUUUCCAUUGCUUUGCAUCGGCUGGAUGUCGUAACUUUCCAUCAUCUUUCCUUUCAUCCGAAGCAUGCCAGAUCAUAAGUUCAGCGUCUUCAGGGUUUGCAAACAAACACCUCAAACGAUCAACCAUGGGGAGAUACCAUAUCACCAAAGCAGGAAUUCUUCUCAAUGCAUAAUAGUCCACUUCUUCAUUGCUACUAGGCUUCGAGCGUUUGUCUUGUUGAGUCUUUGUUUGGGUCUUCUUUCACUUCCUCCCUGUAGAAACAGAGGCUAGAUUCUCUUCCUCCCGAUAAUCUUUGUUUGUCUUAUAUCUACUGACACCACAGUUUGGACAACUAUCUAAGUCUUUAAAUUGAUCACCCCGAUAUAGAAUACAAUGAUUUCUACAUGCGUGGAUCUUCUCAACACCUAUCGUAAGUGGACUGACUAGCUUCUUUGCAUAGUAUAUGUUAGCAGGCACUUUGUUCUCCUUAUGAAGAAGGUCUCCAAGUACACGCAAGAAAUCAUUGAAGCUAGCAUCGGACCAACCAUGUCUAGCCUUCAUCGUCAAAAACUGAAGAACAACACAUAAUGUCGACCACUCUUUGGUACCACCAUUCGACUCGUCGUACAAAGUGUCCUCUGCUGCCUUCUUCAAUGCUUCCAUUCCCUUCAUGAAGAAUAUUGAUGGAUCUGCACAACGGUUCAUUAUUGCCUCUAAGAAAUCUGCAUCUUCAACAGCAUCUGUGUUAGCAUGCUGGUUCAUUGACAUCAGACGUAUGAGUUUCAUUGACAUCUGGCAUAGCAUGAAAUUCAUUGAGAGGUGGCAUUUGAUCCUCCACAUUAAUGUUAGUUGCAGUGUUGUCUGUUGUCCGCAUAUAAGGUACAGAACUACCCUCACCAUGUUUUGUCCAAAUCAAGUAGUCCUCCAUAAAUCCUCUACAAACCAGAUGGGAAGUAAUUGCUUCUAUAUUGUCAAAUACCACAAUAUUUUUGCAGUCUGCGCAUGGACAACAUAUGUGCUUCGCCUUUGUUUUGCGAGCAUGUAUCUUUGCAACAUCAAUAAAUUUUUGGACCUCCACUACAUAUGAUGGGUCCAAUCUUGAUAAGUUGUACAUCCAUAAUGACCUCUCCAUAUUUAGCUGUAAUUAGUUAAGAACAAUUAAUGUAGGUCAAUCUAAAAACAAAACUAAUAUAACUCCUGAAAACAGAUUUAACUAAGAUACUAACCUCCUUCUACUAAACAGAGAUGAAAACCUACCCCUUACCAAGUUUACAAUUUAUGGAAUUUAAAUAAUUGUUGAAGCUCAUUUUCAAAAAUAUAAGAAAUAAUUUUAUAAAAUUUAGGUAUAAUUCAAGGAUUUCUAUGAAGUAUUUAUGCACAAAGAUUUGAAAAAGUAUUUAUUUGCCAUUCUAUGAUUUUCAACAUUUUAAUGUUUGAGUUUAUAAAGUCUAAUUCAUCUGAAAAAGAAAAGUUAAAACUGAAUCAAAAUUAUAAACUUCAAAAUGUCCUCAUCAUUACUCUAUUGUAUAGAUCUUCUCACCAAAAUUCUAAAAAGUAUUUAUUUUCUAUUUUUUUAAUUUCUACAAUUUACUAUGAAUUUACAUAAAAAUUUAGCUAAAACUCUCUCUCUUGCCCUAUGAACCCUAACGCUAAGCAAGAAUGCUUCAUGAACUCUAGAUCUAGAGCACCUCCAAUACAAGAAUUGAACCAAAGAAUCACUAAAAAAAUAGCAUCAAGCGCUCCAACUAACCGUUUGGAAGUUUCUCACCAAAGAAAUGAGGAUCAAAACCUCCCCCUUUGGAAACUGGAAUCGUCUGGUCCGCCUGGUCCGUGAGCUCACGGGAGUAACUGUUCUUGUCUGGAGGUGGACGAAGGGUAUUUAUAGCAGACUUAGCACAAGCGGCUCAUAAAGAGGGCCGCCUGUGUAAAUACAAUAGCACAGGCGGUCCUCUAUACAAACCGCCUGUGUAAACGGACACAUUUACACAGGCGGUUGUCGUAAUUCUGCCGCCUGUGUUAUACACAGGCGGUUUGUAUUGUAAGCCACCUGUGUAAAUGUGAAGUUUACACAGGCGGUGUAGUUAAGAAGACCGCCUGUGUAAACAUGUUUACACAGGCGGUUUUCUUGUUGGGCCCUCUGAAAUUUUUCUACUAGCGCCAUGAUAUUGUGAACCGCCAGUGAAAAAAACAACGUGCCCGCAAAAACGAUUUUUGUACUAGUGCAAUCCAAAGGCUAGCUAGCGCUUGUCAACGUACAGUCAUCUUUAAUAAAAGUUUUAUGAUACAGUUUUCAACAUAUUCAUAUUUGAGAAAUAGUGCAUAGGAGUUUUAUAGGGAUGAAACUCUCUCUACUUCCAUAAAACUCUUAUCACCUCUCUCAUCAUUAAUAUAGCGCUACAUCAGCAUAUUUAAUGUGUAUGAAACUCUAAUGAAACCUCAUUGAGACUGGCCUACUACUAUAGCUCCACAUGCAUGCAUUAUUUUCCUUGUACAGACGUAGUUUAUAUUUGAACGCUGCGGCACCACUACAAUCAAAUCGCCAAAUCCUUUGUUGACAUUUUAAGCAUAACUUGUGGAGCCAAUGGAAUAAAUGAGAUGAUAACACAAACAAAACUAGUUAUAUGUACAAUAAUAAGAGGUGAUGGAGAAUUAAUUUAGACAUUGGUCAGUCAGUGCAUGUUUAAAAGUUUGAGAAACAACUGAAACUUUUUGGUAGCCUUUGCAUCUAAGUUUAUCAUGAAUUAGUAGGCAACAUUUUUGUAGUGGUAGAUGCGCGCGGGUGUAUGUAGUGUUCGAUUCAUCCAUGCUUGAAGUAAAAUUUUAUAUAAAAACGUUACGAGUGGAAUGCCAAAGUACGAGAACAGAGAGGAAGUAAAAUGAACUCAGUGUAUUUCUUUAUUCAUUGAUCACGAUAUUAUACAAGUCAGAGGGGAGGGGAAACACUCCCCCCAAGUAAGCUCAAAGCCCACGAUGAGUUGUUGACGGUUCUUAAGUAUCAAUUUUAAUUAUCAAAUAAACAAGAGAAAGGACCAAUAUGCAACCAGCAUAUAGAAUUAGGGUUUGAUCUGACAGAAUUCCACGAGUUUUGUUGUUUAUCUAUUUCUGCAGGGGGUUAUCAUGAAAUAAGGAAGAAAGGCCCACAUGUCAGGAUUACACAGAGAUAUCAACGCACCGCGCAAUUUUACAUCAUCUAGAAGACUCCAGAAGCCAUGAGACCGAAGCGGAGGCGAAGCUGGGCCAGGCCCAGGGCGCCCGCCCUGGAAGCCUGGGCGCCCGCCCCCCUUCUGGAGCCAAUUCAGGACUCCUUCGCUCGGGAUAUUCCACCGACCUAUUGGAUCAAGAAAAACAUAGUACCACCUCGGCUAUCGACCCAAAAACGCAUAGAAGGGGAGGACUAUAUAAGCGAGGCCCCCCUGGCCCCUGGAAUACAUGAAGAAAUUAUCAUAGAGACUGAGGGGUGCCCUCGAAGGAAAACCUCUUCUCUAAUUAAUAUUUCUUUUUAGGCUUAGCAAUCAAUGUAAGGUAGAAAUAGAUCUUCUAGUUUCUACUAGAUUGAGAGAUAUAGAGUGGAGGUGUAGAGUGGAGGAAGCCCGGCCUGUCGGUGUCUACUCCAAGCUUGUACCUGCGGGAUCAAGUUCUCCUAACCCGAAGCUUGCUCCUAGGAUUCUUCAGUAAUUCGACUUCUAAAUUCUAGUAAGUUCUUGUUUAUUGUUCUUAUGGUUUAUGGGUUUACUUUAAUCUCUUCGCGUAGAGUUUAGAGUAAUCAUUGCUGGCGUAAACGUGGUGUUUAGGCUGGGGUACUCAUAGAUAUUCCCUGACUAGCUGGACCGUGGUAGUAGUGAGGAACGUGACAUUUCCGAGCUACCUUUGUAGAUCACAUCUCGUUAGCAGGAAGGAUAGGGUUUAUAGGUGCGGGUCGAACAUCCUUUGUGGUGUCUAGAUUCCGUUAGCCUCCCCAUUAGAACAGUAUAUCAUCCUUACCAAGGUUAGAAGGAGACUACAGUUGCAGUCUUCUCUAUUUAUCACUCACAUCGAAAGACAUUCUUUGUGCCUAAAGGUUAGUAGUAAUAGACCGGUUAGUCAGAUGCACUCUUUCUCCUAGUGGUAAAAAAAUAAAUACGAUACUCUGGAUAAUUUCCCGGGUGAAAUGCUCACCGAUAUCCGUGCGCUUGCGGAUCAAUUCCUUAUUGCGUUCCCAAAUAUCAACAAGCAUUUCUGGCGCCGUUGCCGGGGAGAAAGACGGUUGCUGAGAUAACCUGUGUCUUGCUAUUAGCUUGUAUCUAUACUUUUAUCUUUUCUUAUCUUUUAUAUUCUUUAUUUAUUUUUCUUUAUUCUUACCUUAUGGAAAACCAAAAUUCUAAAUCGAUCCAUGAGUCUGCAAUCCCUUUAGCAACUGACCUUUUACCAUGGGAAUCAUCACAGCCUAUCCAAACAUCCCAGUAUAAGUUAAGUUCUAGGUUGAUUGCCAUGAUUCAAAACCUAUCUUUUUCGGGAAAGGAAGACGAAAACCCUUACCUUCAUAUUAGAGAUUUUGAGCAAACAUGUGAUUGUCUUCGCAUUGAAGGCAUUUCUGAUAAGACUUUACGUUGGAAGCUUUUUCCUUUUUCUCUAAGGGGAGAAGCUAGACAAUGGUACAGUCAGACGGUAAGUCAACAACAAGGUGAAUGGGGAGUCUUACGAGCCAACUUUUGUCUAGAUUUCUAUUCCCUUGACCGUAUAGCCGACCUUAGACUCGAAGUCCUAUCUUUUAAACAAAAAGAUAAUGAAACUUUGGGAAAAUCCUGGAAACGUUUUUCUGAUCUUUUAGAAUCUGGUCCAAACCUUAAUCUUGAAGACCCUGUUCUUUUAUUUCACUUUUUUCGAGGUCUUCAUAAAAAUCACAAAAAAAUGCUACACACAAUGUCUAGAGGUUCUUUCUUUCGCAUCCCUGCUGAUGAAGCUAGAGUGAUCCUAGAUAGAAUCCUAGAAGCUGAGAUGGAUAAUACCCUUCAUGAUGAAACCUAUGAAGCCGAAGUAGACACUCUGCCAAAUUUUUCAUCUACUUUAGCUAUCCCAAGUUCUGAGCCACGAGAGGAAGAAAUUCCACUACCAGACUUCAUGCUGGAUAUAGAAUCCGAUCUUUUUGCCGAUUUUGGAAAUAUUUCAAACUACCAUUCUAUUGACAAACCCCAAAACGGCUAGUCUAGCAUUUAUUUACCAAGUGAAUAUCAAUUGAGAGAGCUUAUCUCAGUGAUGAGUAGCGAAUGGUUGGAGGAAUCAGAGCUUUCCUCUGAUGUGAUCCGUUUGGACACACCCUCUAUAACUAUACGCUGUGCUUAUAACUCUGAUCGAUUUAAUUCUCUUUAUAAUCCUGUUGUGGGGAUCAACAUUAUGUCUGAAUCUUUUGCACUUAAACUAUUUAAAAAUCUUGUCUUAACCCCCACAACAAAGGUCAUAAAGGAAUCUUCGGGACGAUUAGUCCCCAGUCUUGGAAUUAUUAAUGUCCUACCUCUUACGGUAGAAGGCUCCAUGGUUCAUUUGAACUUCUAUAUCUUUGAUACAUGGGACUUCGACAUAUUGAUAGGACAAACUUUUAGAAGACUCCUUUAUGAAGGUCAUACUAGAAAGCUACACAUUUCUUUUGGAAAAACUUUUCAAUUCCCAAUGAUAAUUUCACACUCCUUAAAUAAUAAGGCCGAGUCAUAUCUUUUGCCUGAUCCUAUGGAGGAGGUAAAGGCUGCAUCUCUAGAGCUUUUAGAUGAACCAGACUUAGAAGACGAAACUCCUUUCUUCACAGAAGAAGAAGACGAACCUUCUGAGCCUGAACCCUUAGAUGAGUUUCAGAAACACCUAGACCCCCUAUAGAGCUUAAAACUUUACCACCCGGUCUUACCUAUGCUUUCCUAAACAAUAAUCCAGAGUUCCCUGUGAUCAUUAGCGAUAAACUCACUCAGGAUCAAACUCUGCGAUUAAUGACCAUUCUUGAGAAACAUCACUCAGUUUUUGGCUACUCACUUCAAGACCUUACAGGAAUCAGUCCUAUGAUUUGUACCCAUCGUAUUCCAACAGAUCCUUCUGUUACACCCUCUCGAGAACCCCAACGUAGACUUAACAACACUAUGAGAGAGGUAGUUAAAAAGGAUGUUAUAAAGUUGCUGCAUGCAGGGAUUAUAUAUCCUGUGCCGCACAGUGAGUGGGUAAGCCCAAUACAAGUUGUGCCUAAAAAGGGAGGCAUGACAGUUUUUAUGAAUGAAAAGAAUGAGCUAAUUCCGCAACGCACCGUCACAGGAUGGCGGAUGUGCAUAGACUAUAGAAAAUUAAACAAAGCCACGAGAAAGGAUCACUUUCCUUUACCUUUCAUAGAUGAGAUGCUAGAGCGGUUAGCAAACCAUUCAUUCUUUUGUUUCUUAGAUGGAUAUUCAGGAUAUCACCAAAUCCCGAUCCAUCCUGAUGAUCAAAGCAAAACCACCUUUACAUGCCCAUAUGGAACUUAUGCUUACCGUAGAAUGUCUUUUGGGUUAUGUAAUGCACCAGCUUCUUUUCAAAGAUGCAUGAUGUCUAUAUUUUCUGAUAUGAUUGAAGAGAUUAUGGAAGUUUUCAUGGAUGAUUUCUCUGUUUAUGGAAAAACUUUUGAUAGUUGUCUUGAAAACUUAGACAAGGUUUUGCAAAGAUGUGAAGAAAAGCACUUAAUCCUUAAUUGGGAAAAAUGUCAUUUUAUGGUUAGAGAAGGAAUAGUGCUAGGACACUUAGUGUCUGAAAGAGGGAUCGAGGUAGACAAAGCUAAAAUUGAAGUAAUUGAACAGCUACCUCCACCUGUGAAUAUAAAAGGAAUUCGAAGCUUUCUUGGCCAUGCUGGUUUUUAUCGUAGAUUCAUAAAAGAUUUUUCAUUUAUUGCUAGACCACUUACUCUUUUGCUAGCCAAGGAUGCUCCUUUCGAAUUUGAUGAUGCAUGUCUAACAUCUUUCAAUUUAUUAAAGAAAGCACUCAUCUCUGCACCAAUCAUUCAACCCCCUGAUUGGUAGUUGCCUUUUGAAAUUAUGUGUGAUGCUAGUGAUUAUGCUGUGGGGGC
rnacentral:lncRNA from 1 species